rnacentral:lncRNA from 1 species
CACCUCACCCCACAUAUGUUUCCUUGCCAUAGAUCACAUUCUUGGAUUUCUGGUGGAGACCAUUUCUUGGUCUAAAAUCCGUAGGUGUUAGCCUUAGGUAUUAUUGAAAAUGGUCGCUCAUGGCUAUUUUCGACAAAAAUGGGGGUUGUGUGGCCAUUGAUCAUCGACCAGAUGCUCAUACACCUCACCCCACAUAUGUUUCCUUGCCAUAGAUCACAUUCUUGGAUUUCUGGUGGAGACCAUUUCUUGGUCUAAAAUCCGUAGGUGUUAGCCUCUAGUAUUAUUGAAAAUGGUCGCUCAUGGCUAUUUUCAAGGUCGCUCAUGGCUAUUUUCAUAAAAAAUGGGGGUUGUGUGGCCAUUUAUCAUCGACUAGAGGCUCAUAAACCUCACCCCACAUAUGUUUCCUUGCCAUAGAUUACAUUCUUGGAUUUCUGGUGGAAACCAUUUCUUGGUUAAAAACUCGUACGUGUUAGCCUUCGGUAUUAUUGAAAAUGGUCAUUCAUGGCUAUUUUCGGCAAAAUGGGGGUUGUGUGGCCAUUGAUCAUCGACCAGAGGCUCGUACACCUCACCCCACAUAUGUUUCCUUGCCAUAGAUCACAUUCUUAGAUUUCUGGUGGAGACCAUUUCUUGGUCAAAAAUCCGUAGGUGUUAGCCUUCGGUAUUAUUGAAAAUGGUCAUUCAUGGCUAUUUUCGACAAAAAUGGGGGUUGUGUGGCAUUGAUCAUCGACUAGAGGCUCAUACACCUCACCCCACAUAUGUUUCCUUGCCAUAGAUCACAUUCUUGGAUUUCUGGUGGAGACCAUUUCUUGGUCUAAAAUCCGUAGGUGUUAGCCUCUAGUAUUAUUGAAAUGGUCGCUCAUGGCUAUUUUCAAGGUCGCUCAUGGCUAUUUCAUAAAAAUGGGGGUUGUGUGGCCAUUUAUCAUCGACUAGAGGCUCAUAAACCUCACCCCACAUAUGUUUCCUUGUCAUAGAUUACAUUCUUGGAUUUCUGGUGGAGACCAUUUCUUGGUUAAAAACUCGUACGUGUUAGCCUUCGGUAUUAUUGAAAAUGGUCAUUCAUGGCUAUUUUCGGCAAAAUGGGGGUUGUGUGGCCAUUGAUCGUCGACCAGAGGCUCAUACACCUCACCCCACAUAUGUUUCCUUGCCAUAGAUCACAUUCUUGGAUUUCUGGUGGAGACCAUUUCUUGGUCAAAAAUCCGUAGGUGUUAGCCUUCGAUAUUAUUGAAAAUGGUCAUUCAUGGCUAUUUUCGACAAAAAUGGGGGUUGUGUGGCCAUUGAUCGCGACCAGAGGCUCAUACACCUCACCCCACAUAUGUUUCCUUGUCGUAGAUCACAUUCUUGGAUUUCUGGUGGAGACCAUUUCUUGGUCAAAAAUCCGUAGGUGUUAGCCUUCGAUAUUAUUGAAAAUGGUCGUUCAUGGCUAUUUUCGACAAAAAUGGGGGUUGUGUGACAAUUGAUCAUCGACCAGAGGCUCAUACACCUCACCCCACAUAUGUUUCCUUGCCAUAGAUCACAUUCUUGGAUUUCUGGUGGAGACCAUUUCUUGGUCAAAAAUCCGUAGGUGUUAGCCUUCGGUAUUAUUGAAAAUGGUCGUUCAUGGCUAUUUUCGACAAAAAUGGGGGUUGUGUGGCCAUUGAUCAUCGACCAGAGGCUCAUACACCUCACCCCACAUAUGUUUCCUUGCCAUAGAUCACAUUCUUGGAUUUCUGGUGGAGACCAUUUCUUGGUCAAAAAUCCGUACGUGUUAGCCUCUAGUAUUAUUGAAAAUGGUCGCUCAUGGCUAUUUUCAAGGUCGCUCAUGGCUAUUUUCAUAAAAAAUGGGGGUUGUGUGGCCAUUGAUCAUCGACCAGAGGCUCAUACACCUCACCCCACAUAUGUUUCCUUGCCAUAGAUCACAUUCUUGGAUUUCUGGUGGAGACCAUUUCUUGGUUAAAAACUCGUAGGUGUUAGCCUUCGGUAUUAUUGAAAAUGGUCAUUCAUGGCUAUUUUCGGCAAAAUGGGGGUUUUGUGGCCAUUUAUCAUCGACCAGAGGCUCAUACACCUCACCCCACAUAUGUUUCCUUGCCAUAGAUUACAUUCUUGGAUUUCUGGUGGAGACCAUUUCUUGGUUAAAAACUCGUACGUGUUAGCCUUUGGUAUUUUUGAAAAUGGUCAUUCAUGGCUAUUUUCGACAAAAAUGGGGGUUGUGUGGCCAUUGAUCAUCGACCAGACGCUCAUACACCUCACCCCACAUAUGUUUCCUUGCCAUAGAUCACAUUCUUGGAUUUAUGGUGGAGACCAUUUCUUGGUCAAAAAUCCGUAGGUGUUAGCCUUCAGUGUCAUUGAAAAUGGUCGUUCAUGGCUAUUUUCGACAAAAAUUAGGGUUGUGUGGCCAUUGAUCGUCGACCAGAGGCUCAUACACCUCACCCCACAUAUGUUUCCUUGCCAUAGAUCACACCAUAGAUUACAUUCUUGGAUUUCUGGUGGAAACCAUUUCUUGGUUAAAAACUCGUACGUGUUAGCCUUCGGUAUUAUUGAAAAUGGUCAUUCAUGGCUAUUUUCGGCAAAAUGGGGGUUGUGUGGCCAUUGAUCAUCGACCAGAGGCUCGUACACCUCACCCCACAUAUGUUUCCUUGCCAUAGAUCACAUUCUUGGAUUUCUGGUGGAGUCCAUUUCUUGGUCAAAAAUCCGUAGGUGUUAGCCUUUGGUAUUUUUGAAAAUGGUCAUUCAUGGCUAUUUUCGACAAAAAUGGGGGUUGUGUGGCCAUUGAUCAUCGACCAGACGCUCAUACACCGCACCCCACAUAUGUUUCCUUGCCAUAGAUCACAUUCUUGGAUUUCUGGUGGAGACCAUUUCUUGGUUAAAAACUCGUACGUGUUAGCCUUCGGUAUUAUUGAAAAUGGUCGUUCAUGGCUAUUUUCGGCAAAAUGGGGGUUGUGUGGCCAUUGAUCUUCCACCAUAGGCUCAUACACCUCACCCCACAUAUGUUUCCUUGCCAUAGAUCACAUUCUUGGAUUUCUGGUGGAGACCAUUUCUUGGUCAAAAAUCCGUAGGUGUUAGCCUUCGGUAUUAUUGAAAAUGGUCGUUCAUGGCUAUUUUCGACAAAAUGGGGGUUGUGUGGCCAUUGAUCAUCGACCAGAGGCUCAUACACCUCACCCCACAUAUGUUUCCUUGUCGUAGAUCACAUUCUUGGAUUUCUGGUGGAGACCAUUUCUUGGGCAAAAAUCCGUAGUUGUUAGCCUUCGAUAUUAUUGAAAAUGGUCGUUCAUGGCUAUUUUCGACAAAAAUGGGGGUUGUGUGGCCAUUGAUAUUCGACCAGAGGCUCAUACACCUCACUACACAUAUGUUUCCUUGCCAUAGAUCACAUUCUUGGAUUUCUGGUGGAGACCAUUUCUUGGUCAAAAAUCCGUAGGUGUUAGCCUUCGGUAUUAUUGAAAAUGGUCGUUCAUGGCUAUUUUCGACAAAAAUGGGGGUUGUGUGGCCAUUGAUCAUCGACCAGAGGCUCAUACACCUCACCCCACAUAUGUUUCCUUGCCAUAGAUCACAUUCUUGGAUUUCUGGUGGAGACCAUUUCUUGGUCAAAAAUCCGUAGGUGUUAGCCUUCGGUAUUAUUGAAAAUGGUCGUUCAUGGCUAUUUUCGACAAAAAUGGGGGUUGUGUGGCCAUUGAUCAUCGACCAGAGGCUCAUACACCUCACCCCACAUAUGUUUCCUUGCCAUAGAUCACAUUCUUGGAUUUUUGGUGGAGACCAUUUCUUGGUUAAAAACUCGUAGGUGUUAGCCUUCGGUAUUAUUGAAAAUGGUCAUUCAUGGCUAUUUUCGGCAAAAUGGGGGUUGUGUGGCCAUUUAUCAUCGACCAGAGGCUCAUACACCUCACCCCACAUAUGUUUCCUUGCCAUAGAUUACAUUCUUGGAUUUCUGGUGGAGACCAUUUCUUGGUUAAAAACUCGUACGUGUUAGCCUUUGGUAUUUUUGAAAAUGGUCAUUCAUGGCUAUUUUCGACAAAAAUGGGGGUUGUGUGGCCAUUGAUCAUCGACCAGACGCUCAUACACCUCACCCCACAUAUGUUUCCUUGCCAUAGAUCACAUUCUUGGAUUUAUGGUGGAGACCAUUUCUUGGUCAAAAAUCCGUAGGUGUUAGCCUUCAGUGUCAUUGAAAAUGGUCGUUCAUGGCUAUUUUCGACAAAAAUUAGGGUUGUGUGGCCAUUGAUCGUCGACCAGAGGCUCAUACACCUCACCCCACAUAUGUUUCCUUGCCAUAGAUCACACCAUAGAUUACAUUCUUGGAUUUCUGGUGGAAACCAUUUCUUGGUUAAAAACUCGUACGUGUUAGCCUUCGGUAUUAUUGAAAAUGGUCACUCAUGGCUAUUUUCGGCAAAAUGGGGGUUGUGUGGCCAUUGAUCAUCGACCAGAGGCUCGUACACCUCACCCCACAUAUGUUUCCUUGCCAUAGAUCACAUUCUUGGAUUUCUGGUGGAGACCAUUUCUUGGUCAAAAAUCCGUAGGUGUUAGCCUUUAGUAUUUUUGAAAAUGGUCAUUCAUGGCUAUUUUCGACAAAAAUGGGGGUUGUGUGGCCAUUGAUCAUCGACCAGACGCUCAUACACCUCACCCCACAUAUGUUUCCUUGCCAUAGAUCACAUUCUUGGAUUUCUGGUGGAGACCAUUUCUUGGUUAAAAACUCGUACGUGUUAGCCUUCGGUAUUAUUGAAAAUGGUCGUUCAUGGCUAUUUUCGGCAAAAUGGGGGUUGUGUGGCCAUUGAUCUUCCACCAUAGGCUCAUACACCUCACCCCACAUAUGUUUCCUUGCCAUAGAUCACAUUCUUGGAUUUCUGGUGGAGACCAUUUCUUGGUCAAAAAUCCGUAGGUGUUAGCCUUCGGUAUUAUUGAAAAUGGUCGUUCAUGGCUAUUUUCGACAAAAAUGGGGGUUGUGUGGCCAUUGAUCAUCGACCAGAGGCUCAUACACCUCACCCCACAUAUGUUUCCUUGCCAUAGAUCACAUUCUUGGAUUUCUGGUGGAGACCAUUUCUUGGUCAAAAAUCCGUAGGUGUUAGCCUUCGGUAUUUUUGAAAAUGGUCAUUCAUGGCUAUUUUCGGCAAAAUGGGGGUUGUGUGGCCAUUGAUCAUCGACCAGAGGCUCGUACACCUCACCCCACAUAUGUUUCCUUGCCAUAGAUCAAAUGUUCUCCACCAUAAAUCCAAGAAUGUGAUCUAUGGCAAGGAAACAUAUGUGUAGUGAGGUGUAUGAGCCUCUGGUCGAAGAUCAAUGGUCUCCACCAGAAAUCCAAGAAUGUGAUCUAUGGCAAGGAAACAUAUGUGGGGUGAGGUGUAUGAGCCUCUGGUCGAUGAUCAAUGGCCACACAACCCCCAUUUUGUCGAAAAUAGCCAUGAAUGACCAUUUUCAAUAAUACCGAAGGCUAACACGUACGAGUUUUUAACCAAGAAAUGGUUUCCACCAGAAAUCCAAGAAUGUAAUAUAUGGCAAGGAAACAUAUGUGGGGUGAAGUGUACGAGCCUCUGGUCGAUGAUCAAUGGCCACACAACCCCCAUUUUUUAUGAAAAUAGCCAUGAGCGACCAUUUUCAAUAAUACUAGAGGCUAACACCUACGGAUUUUAGACCAAGAAAUGGUUGAUAGUCGCCUAGAGGGGGGGGUGAAUAGGGCGAAACUGAAAUUUACAAAUAUAAACACAACUACAAGCCGGGUUAGCGUUAGAAAUAUGAAACCGAGUCCGCGAGAGAGGGUGGAAAACAAAUCGCAAGCAAAUGAAGAGUGUGACACGCGGAUUUGUUUUACCGAGGUUCGGUUCUCUCAAACCUACUCCCCGUUGAGGAGGCCACAAAGGCCGGGUCUCUUUCAACCCUUCCCUCUCUCAAACGAUCCCACGGAUCGAGUGAGCUUUCUCUUCUCAAUCACUUGGAACACAAAGUACCCACAAGGACCACCACAAGUUUGGUGUCUCUUGCCUCAAUUACAAGUGAGUUUGAUCGCAAUGAAGGAAUCAAGAAAGAAGAAAGCAAUCCAAGCGCAAGAGCUCGAAAGAACACAAGCAAAUCUCUCUCUCUAGUCACUAGGGCGUUGUGUGGAAUUUGGAGAGGAUUUGAUCUCUUUGGUGUGUCUAGAAUUGAAUGCUAGAGCUCUUGUAAGUAGUUGGGAAGUGGAAAACUUGGAUGCAAUGAAUGGUUGGGUGGUUGGGGUAUUUAUAGCCCCAACCACCAAAAUAACCGUUGGUGGAGGCUGUCUGUUCGAUGGCGCACCGGACAUGUCCGGUGCCCCUGCCACGUCACCAGUGCCGUUGGAAUCUGACCGUUGGAGUUCUGACUUCUGGGCCCGCCUCGAUGUCCGGUGGCGCACCGGACAUGCACUGUUCACUGUCCGGUGCGCCGGCAUGGGCGACUCUGACUUCUGCGCGCGCUGCGCGCGCAUUAAAUGCAUCGCAGGUAGCCGUUGGCGCCGAAGUAGCGUUGCUCCGUGGAUGCACCGGACAGUCCGGUGCACACCGGACAUGUCCGGUGAAUUAUAGCGGAGCAGCCGCUCUGAUUUCCCGAGGCUGGCGAGUUCCUGAGCCGCGUCCCGUUGGAGCACCGGACACUGUCCGGUGUACACCGGACAGUCCGGUGAAUUAUAGCGCGCCGGCUCUGGAGAAUUCCCGAAGGCGACGAGUUCGCGUUGAAGUCCUUUGGUGCACCGGACACUGUCCAGUGGUGCACCGGACAGUCCGGUGCGCCAGACCAGAGGAGCCUUCGGUUGCUCCUUUGCUCUUUUGUUGAACCCAACACUUGGUCUUUUUAUUGGCUAAGUGUGAACCUUUUGCACCUGUAUAACUUAUACACUAGAACAAACUAGUUAGUCCAAAGAUUUGUGUUGGGCAAUUCAACCACCAAAAUUAUAUAGGAACUAGGUGUAAGCCUAAUUCCCUUUCAAUCUCCCCCUUUUUGGUGAUUGAUGCCAACACAAACCAAAGCAAAUAUAGAAGUGCAUAAUUGAACUAGUUUGCAUAAUAUAAGUGCAAAGGUUGCUUGGAAUUGAGCCAAUAUAAAUACUUACAAGAUAUGCAUGGAUUGUUUCUUCAUUUUUAACAUUUUGGACCACGCUUGCACCACAUGUUUUGUUUUUGCAAAAUCUUUUCUAAAUCUUUUCAAAGUUCUUUUGCAAAUAGUCAAGGGUAAAUGAAUAAGAGUUUGCAAAGCAUUUUCAAGAUUUGAAAUUUUCUCCCCCUGUUCCAAAUGCUUUUCCUUUGACUAAACAAAACUCCCCCUAAAUAAAAUCUCCUCUUAGUGUUCAAGAGGGUUUUGAUGAAACAAUUUUGAAAUACUACUUUCUCCCCUUUUUGAACACAUUAAGAUACCAAAUUGACAAUUGGAAAUUACAUUUUAAAAUUAGGUGGUGGUGCGGUCCUUUUGCUUUGGGCUAAUACUUCCUCCCCCUUUGGCAUGAAUCGCCAAAAACGGAGUCAUUAGAGCCCUUCAAAUAACUUUCUCCUCCCUUGGUCAUAAAUAAAAGAGUGAAGAUUAUACCAAAGUAGGAGUCCUUUUGUUUUGCUCUCUCCCCCAAGGAUAGAGAGCGGCUCGGAGUGACGGCGAAGGAUGAGUUGACGGAGUGGAAGCCUUUGUCUUCGCCGAAGACUCCAAUGCCCUUUCAAUGCACCUAUGACUUGAUUUGAAGUAGACUUGAAAACACAUUAGUCAUAGCAUAUGAAAGAGACAUGAUCAAAGGUAUAUUCAUGAGCUAUGUGUGCAAGUUAGCAAUAGAAAUUUCUAGAAUCAAGAAUAUUGAGCUCAUGCCUAAGUUUGGUAAAAGUUUGUUCAUCAAGUGGUUUGGUAAAGAUAUCGGCUAAUUGAUCUUUAGUAUUAAUGUAUGCAAUCUCAAUAUCUCCCUUUUGUUGGUGAUCCCUAAGAAAAUGAUACCGAAUGGCUAUGUGCUUAGUGCGGCUAUGCUCGACGGGAUUGUCGGCCAUUUUGAUUGCACUCUCAUUAUCACAUAGCAAAGGGACUUUGGUUAAUUUGUAACCGUAGUCCCGCAGGGUUUGCCUCAUCCAAAGCAAUUGCGCGCAACAAUGACCUGCGGCAAUGUACUCGGCUUCGGCGGUUGAAAGAGCGACCGAAUUUUGCUUCUUUGAGGCCCAAGACACCAAGGAUCUUCCCAAGAACUGGCAAGUCCCUGAUGUGCUCUUUCUAUUAAUCUUACACCCCGCCCAAUCGGCAUCCGAAUAACCAAUUAAAUCAAAAGUGGAUCCCCGAGGGUACCAAAGCCCAAACUUAGGAGUAUAAGCCAAAUAUCUCAAGAUUCGUUUUACGGUCGUAAGGUGGGAUUCCUUAGGGUCGGAUUGGAAUCUUGCACACAUGCAAAGGGAAAGCAUAAUGUCCGGUCGAGAUGCACAUAAAUAGAGUAAUGAACCUAUCAUCGACCGGUAUACCUUUUGAUCCACGGACUUACCUCCCGUGUCGAGGUCGAGAUGCCCAUUAGUUCCCAUGGGUGUCUUGAUGGGUUUGGCAUCCUUCAUCCCAAACUUGGUUAGAAUGUCUUGAGUGUACUUUGUUUGGCUGAUGAAGGUGCCCUCUUGGAGUUGUUUGACUUGGAAUCCUAGAAAAUACUUCAACUCCCCCAUCAUCAACAUCUCGAACUUUUGUGUCAUGAUCCUACUAAAUUCUUCACAAGUAGAUUCGUUAGUAGACCCAAAUAUGAUAUCAUCAACAUAAAUUUGGCAUACAAACAAAUCAUUGUCAAGAGUUUUAGUGAAUAGAGUAGGAUCGGCUUUUCCGACUUUGAAGCCAUUAGCAAUAAGGAAAUCCCUAAGGCAUUCAUACCAUGCUCUUGGGGCUUGCUUGAGCCCGUAAAGCGCCUUAGAGAGCUUAUAGACAUGGUUAGGAUACUCACUGUCUUCAAAGCCGGGAGGUUGCUCAACAUAGACCUCUUCCUUGAUUGGUCCAUUGAGGAAGGCACUUUUCACGUCCAUUUGAUAAAGCUUAAAGCCAUGGUAAGUAGCAUAGGCUAAUAAUAUACGAAUUGACUCAAGCCUAGCUACGGGUGCAUAGGUUUCACCGAAAUCCAAACCUUCGACUUGGGAGUAUCCCUUGGCCACAAGUCGAGCUUUGUUCCUUAUCACCACACCAUGCUCGUCUUGCUUGUUGCGGAAGACCCAUUUGGUUCCUACAACAUUUUGGUUAGGACGUGGAACUAAAUGCCAUACCUCAUUCCUAGUGAAGUUGUUGAGCUCUUCUUGCAUCGCCACCACCCAAUCCGAAUCUUGUAGUGCUUCCUCUACCCUGUGUGGCUCAAUAGAGGAAACAAACGAGUAAUGUUCACAAAAAUGUGCAACACGAGAUCUAGUAGUUACCCCCUUAUGAAUGUCGCCGAGGAUGGUGUCGACGGGGUGAUCUCGUUGGAUUGCUUGGUGGACUCUUGGGUGUGGCGGCCUUUGUUCCUCUUCCUCCUUGUCUUCCUCAUUUGCAUCUCCCCCUUGAUCAUUGCCAUCAUCUUGAGGUGGCUCAAUUGCUUGAUCUUCUACUUCAUCAACUUGAGCCUCAUCCUCAUUUUGAGUUGGUGGAGAUGCUCGCGUGGAGGAGGAUGGUUGAUCUUGUGCUUUUGGAAGCUCUUCGGAUUCCUUAGGACACACAUCCCCAAUGGACAUGUUCCUUAGCGCGAUGCACGGAGCCUCUUCAUCACCUAUCUCAUCAAGAUCAACUUGCUCUACUUGAGAGCCGUUAGUUUCAUCAAACACAACGUCACAUGAGACUUCAACUAGUCCAGUGGACUUGUUAAAGACCCUAUAUGCCCUUGUGUUUGAGUCAUAACCAAGUAAAAAGCCUUCCACAGUCUUAGGAGCAAAUUUAGAUUUUCUACCUCUUUUAAUAAGAAUAAAGCAUUUGCUACCAAAGACUCUAAAAUAUGAAAUGUUGGGCUUUUUACCGGUUAGGAGUUCAUAUGAUGUCUUCUUGAGGAUUCGGUGUAGAUACAACCGGUUGAUGGCGUAGCAAGCGGUGUUGACCGCCUCGGCCCAAAACCGAUCCGAAGUCUUGUACUCAUCAAGCAUGGUCCUUGCCAUGUCUAAUAGAGUUCGAUUCUUCCUCUCCACUACACCAUUUUGUUGUGGGGUGUAGGGAGAAGAGAACUCAUGCUUGAUGCCCUCUUCCUCAAGAAAGCCUUCGAUUUGAGAGUUCUUGAACUCCGUCCCGUUGUCGCUUCUUAUUUUCUUGAUCCUUAAGCCAAACUCAUUUUGAGCCCGUCUCAAGAAUCCCUUUAAGGUCUCUUGGGUUUGAGAUUUUUCCUGUAAAAAGAAUACCCAAGUGAAGCGAGAAUAAUCAUCCACUAUUACAAGACAAUACUUACUCCCGCCGAUGCUUAUGUAAGCAAUCGGGCCGAAUAGGUCCAUGUGUAGGAGCUCCAGUGGUCUUUCGGUCGUCAUGAUGUUCUUGUGUGGAUGAUGGGCUCCAACUUGCUUUCCUGCCUGACAUGCACUACAAAUCCUGUCUUUCUCAAAAUGAACAUUUGUUAGUCCUAAAAUGUGUUCUCCCUUUAGAAGCUUAUGAAGAUUCUUCAUCCCAACAUGGGCUAGUCGGCGGUGCCAGAGCCAACCCAUGUUAGUCUUAGCAAUUAAGCAUGUGUCGAGUUCAGCUCUAUCAAAAUCUACUAAGUAUAGCUGACCCUCUAACACACCCUUAAAUGCUAUUGAAUCAUCACUUCUUCUAAAGACAGUGACACCUACAUCAGUAAAUAGACAGUUGUAGCCCAUUUGACAUAAUUGUGAAACGGAAAGCAAAUUGUAAUCUAAAGAAUCUACAAGAAAAACAUUGGAAAUUGAAUGGUCAGGAGAUAUAGCAAUUUUACCAAGACCUUUGACCAAACCUUGAUUUCCAUCCCCGAAUGUGAUAGCUCGUUGGGGAUCUUGGUUUUUCUCAUAGGAGGAGAACAUCCUUUUCUCCACUGUCAUAUGGUUUGUGCACCCGCUGUCGAGUAUCCAACUUGAGCCCCCGGAUGCAUAAACCUACAAAACAAUUUUAGUUCUUGACUUUAGGUACCCAAACGGUUUUGGGUCCUUUGGCAUUAGAAACAAGAACUUUGGGUAUCCAAUCACAAGUCUUUGACCCCUUGUGUUUGCCCCCAACAAACUUGGCAACUACCUUGCCGGAUUUGUUAGUCAAAACAUAAGAUGCAUCAAAAGUUUUAAAAGAAAUAUCAUGAUCAUUUGAUGCAAUAGGAGUUUUCUUCUUAGGCAACUUAGCACGGGUUGGUUGCCUAGAGCUAGAUGUCUCACCCUUAUACAUAAAAGCAUGAUUAGGGCCAGAGUGAGACUUCCUAGAGUGAAUUCUCCUAAUUUUGUCCUCGGGAUAACCGGCAGGGUAUAAAAUGUAACCCUCGUUAUCCUGAGGCAUGGGAGCCUUGCCCUUAACAAAGUUGGACAAUCUUUUAGGAGGGGCAUUAAGUUUGACAUUGUCUCCCCUUUGAAAGCCAAUGCCAUCCUUGAUGCCCGGGCGUCUCCCAUUAUAGAGCAUACUUCUAGCAAAUUUAAACUUUUCAUUUUCUAAGUUAUGCUCGACAAUUUUAGCAUCUAAUUUUGCUAUAUGAUCAUUUUGUUGUUUAAUCAAAAUCAUGUGAUCAUGAAUAGCAUCAACAUCAAUAUCUCUACAUCUAGUACAAAUAGUGACAUGCUCAAUGGUAGAUGUAGAUGGUUUGCAAGAAUUAAGUUCAACAAUCUUAGCACGUAAUAUAUCAUUCUUAUCUCUAAGAUCGGAAAUUGUAACUUUGCAAACAUCAAAAUCUUUAGCCUUAGCAAUCAAGUUUUCAUUUUCUAAUCUAAGGCUAGCAAGAGAUACAUUCAAUUCUUCAAUCUUAGCAAGUAAAUCAUCAUUAUUGUUUCUAAGAUUGGGAAUUGAAAUAUCACAAACAUGAGUGUUGGGGACUUGUUCUCAAGUGCUAUGAGUUAAGAACAAGGCAACAUAGAAAAUGUUAAUCGUUAAAGUCCUUCGUCCUCCGAAGCAUUAUUUCCCUUAGGAUGUAAUGGCUUGCGGACGAAGGUUAUGAAGGACAUACCUUCAUAAAUUCAUCAAACAAUGACGAAGGAUGAAAUAUAAAGAAUGUAAAGGACAACAUGAACAAUCAUAUAUUAUUAUCGAGCAUAAACAAAAACAUCGUUGAAUUACAAGUGUACCUUCAAUCGGAAGGAGAUGACAAUACAAGCGUGACGCAAAAAGCGAAUGCCAAGUCAGCGUGAACAGUACGGGGGUACUGUUCACCUAUUUAUAGGCACGGGGCACAGCCCAUACAAAAUUACAUUCAUGCCCUUUACAUUUGAUAAUAAUUCUAUAGUAAUCUAUCGAGGUCUGAAUAGCCUUUUCAUCUUUAAGUCGGUUUCAUUUUCUGCAACCACGCCGAAGCUCUCCUGCUAACAUCUUCGGCGUUGUAUCAAGACCUUCGUAUUAUCCUGGUCUUCUCCUGCCGUGAUACCGACUUGAGUUCGAAGGUACCUGCUCACACAUUAUACUUCCAGAAAUACUAUUAAAUCCUGUUUUUGAGGACCUUCGCAUGCCGAAGGUCCCCAACAGUAGCCCCUCGCAAUAUUAAUUUGUUUGAAAUAACGAAUUUAGAUUGCGACAUGAACGAAGGCUUUACGCCGAAGGUCCGAAAAAACACCUUCCCUUUGCUAGAAUAGCAACAACCACUGACGAGCGGGGUCUUUGAAUUUUCAACGCUCUUGGCGUAUAAAUACGGGCAUACCGCAAACUCAUUUGACACGCUUUCUGGCCAACUGCUCCUGCUUACUCAAUUUUUAGCUCUUGUGCACUGCGAUUUGCUAGGCUUUUGGUUUUGAAGCUUUGGCUUUGAAAAUAGUUUUUUAGCGUCUCCGAAGAUGUCUGAAGAUAAGAAGACUGUUGCUGAGAUGAAGCUGAGCCUUGACGAAGAGAAAAACUUGGGGUUUCUUAUAGCGAUGUCAAAGACCAAUACAGAAAAGAUUACCAAGGAGAUUCUGGAAGGUUUGUCCGAAGAUACUGGUGAUAGUGAUAGCUAUGAUAUGGACAGUGGUGGCGAGGACUCCGAAGAUCGUCCCUGGCGACCGAGCCAUUCAGUUUAUGGUAAAUCAACUAUCAAGGAGAAUCAUCUUGUCAACAUGAGAGGAAGGUAUUUCCGGGAUUUGUCCAUUGUGAGGGCCGAUGAAGGUGAAAAAACUUGCCCACACCCUGAAGAGAAUGAAGUCGUAGUGUACCGAAGCUUUUUGAAAGCUGGACUGCGAUUUCCCUUGAGCAGCUUCGUUGUGGAGGUACUGAAAAUAUUCGAAGUUUAUCUCCAUCAACUUACCCCCGAGGCAAUUAUAAGGCUAAAUAUCUUCGUGUGGGCCGUGAGAAGCCAAGGUCUGAAGCCUGAUGCAAAAAGUUUCUGCAAUAUACACGAAUUAUCAUACGAAACAAAACCUUGGGGUAAGGAACAGUAUCACAAUAAUUUUGGCUGCUACAAUUUCGUUUCUCGGUCCGGGUCAAGCUGUCCCGUGCCGACCUUUCGGAAGAGAUGGCCCGGCGACUGGAUGACAGAAUGGUUUUAUGUGAAGAAUGAUCUGACAGCGCGAGAAGAUAUCAAAGGUAUAAUUAUGCGCCCUAUUUGGCAAAGCUUCGGCCUUCGGAGGCCGAAGGUUGAAAUGAGUGAGGCUGCCGAAGAAUGCCAGAGAGCCUUCGGCGUUAUCUGUUCUUUUAUUGGAACGAGGGAUUUAGUACAAGAGCAUAUCGCCUUCAGGGUAUGGCCGCUUGCGGAGAAAUGGGAAAUGCCACAAGAAACCAUAAAAGAGGCCGACGAAGGUGGACUUAUCAGGUUGAAGUAUACCUUCAAGUUUGGAGAUAAAUUCGUUGAGCCAGAUGAUGACUGGUUAAAAAGCAUUGAAAAUUUAAGUGAUGAGCUGCUUGGGACCUAUUCGAAGGCCGAAGACACUGCAAUGUCAGCAGCCUUCGGAGGCCGAAAAAAGAAGAGGCUGAAUCGGGUAUUUGAUGCCAUCGGGUUUGUCUACCCUGACUAUUGCUAUCCCAUUCGAAGGCAGAAGAGAAAGAACACAACCUCUGCAAAAGAAGAAGCUGCAGCUGCUCCUAGCGAGCCAGAACCAAAAAGGAAGAAGAUAAAGGUCCUUACGCAUCGGCCGCGCUAUAUUGAACCAGCUUCGGUGCCUGAGUUUACCGGAGAAACUUCUUCGGCAACCGAAGCUGAAAAACCAACCGAGCCAACUUUGCUGCCAGAAGUCGCAGAAAUGGCCGAAGUGCCACCAAAGAUAGAAUUGGAACAAUCAAAGAUUUUGUUAUCAGAAACGAAAGAGAAGGCCGAAGCGCCGUCCACAGAAAAAAUGGAAGAGGUAAAAGAAGCAACUGAGGGCUCCAAAACAUCAGAAGUUUUGAGUCCUGCAGCAAACAUUGAGACAGUAAAAAAUCAAAAAGUGCCAGCAGUGACUCCGAAAAGAAAGAGAAUGGCUAAUGUGCUAGAUGUACUGGAAACGAUCAAAUCUUCAAGCACACCUCCGAAGAAGGCUGCUGUCACUCCUGAAACAACAGUUGAGACUUCUGGUUCUAAAGCUUCAGAGCAAGAGACUGAAGCCGAAGCUGGGCCCUCAGAGCCCGCAAAGAUAAAACCCUUGGAAAGUGAGACAGAAAAAAUAACAAAGCCAAUUUUGUUGAAGAAACCGGUGUUAUUGCCCCCGAAGCAUCCCCCAAAGUUCGUGAUUAUAUUGUUCGUCAUGCUUCGGGGAAAAAACUAUCAGAAAAAGAAGAACAAGAGGCCCAGCACUACGCCCAAAAACUGAAAUAUCCAAAGGGGGCGUUAAUAUUCAAUGGCAGUGGAGAAGAAGACUUCUUGUACUGUCUUCCCGACAGCAAGGAGAUUUCUGUCUGUCGGGAGAUGAGCAAGAGCUUCGGAUUCCCAACUUUAGAAGACGGGCUCUCGGUGCUGUCGAAGAACGAUCUGGCCGACAGCCUGGCUUACAAUAGCUUAAAGGUGCGACAAAUGAAAUUCUUGUAUAUUUUUUUUGUUGAAUCCAAAAUUUUUCGUUUGUUAAAACCUAUUGACGCACACAUAUUCCUCUUCGCAGGGCCUGAUACUUAGCAAUGCCCUCAGGGCACAGAAAGAUGCUGAAGACGAAGGGUGUACUAUAGCCCUGAGCAACCUUCGUUCCGAAGUAAUUGAACUGAGGAACGAAGGUCUCGAAAAAGAUAAAAUAUUAUACUCAUUGAUAAAUAAAAUAAAGGAAGACGAAGCUGCUUUUAAAAGUCAAGCUGAAGCUCAGAAGCGCGAAAUUGAAGGCCUUCGGAGACAACUGGCCAGAGCCAAGGAAGAACGCAUACUUGAAGAAACAAAGCGUGAACUCAGCGAUCAAUGGGCAGAUCACCUAGAAGUGACUGUUGAAGAGCUUCGUUCGUCCAAAAAGAGAUGCUAUAGCAAAUCUAUAGAUUGUGUUAAGAAGUUAAAGGCUAGCUUCGCCAAGGUCGGCGCAUUUUCAAGUGAGGAGAACUUUUCGAGAGGCAACCCCGAAGGUGUCAUCGAAUGGAUUGAUCACGAAGCUGAAGCCUUCGAAGAAAUUUUAAAUAGCCGAGGAGAUAUAUGUGCCUUCUCUGGCGCCAGAGGGAUUGCCACCAUCUUAGAGAAGAAGGGCUGCGAACAUGUAAAAAUUUUAGCUCAAUCCGAAGCUGCUUUGCCCUUUGAAGAUGCAAGAGAUCCUUCGGCUGAAGCUAGUAUAAUUGGUGGAAAAUUUUUUACUGAUAUCUGGGAUAAUGGUGGCCGAGAAAUGGCCGGAGAAAUUAUUCGAAGAAGUGAAAAAGGCAUUCACGAUGCUAGAGAAGUAGCUGAGGCUGCUGAAAAAAGCGCAGAGGCCGAAGGUCAAUUAGGUAUUAACUAAUGGUUUUUAUUGUGUUGUAAUCUUAGGUUGUAAGAUUUGUUUGCGAUUUGUAAUAGCAAUGUAGCCGUAUCCUGUCUUGCUUCAGAUCCGACUAAAGCGUCUUCGGGCCCUCAGCCGAAGGGAGACGACGAAAUUAAAAAGAUGGCUGAAGAUAUUAUGGACGAAGUCGUCAACCGGCUCCUGAACGAGGCUGCAGAAGUCGUUUUGAGAGAAGAUUAAGUAUUUUUGUAAAAACUUCUGAAAUGUAAUAUAGUGUAACAUUUUGUAACCCCAAAUGUAAUAUAUCUAUUUUUGUUACUCAAUUCUUUACGAUGCAUGAAACUUUACACGUACCGCUUUUGAGUCUUUGACGAAAAAACACCUUCCCUUCUUUUCAUGCUUCGUGAAGAAAAUAUCCAAUGUUCUGAUGAAAAAUAUCCAGGCUUCGUGAAAAUAUUUUCCGAAGCUACAUUUCCGAAGAUCAAUGAUGUAUCUUUUUGUGACUAUGAUUUCUCCCUUUCAAACCGUUCUUCUGUAGAGUAAUAAUGUAUCCACCUCUUGUGCCAUGUGCAAAAUGAUGUAUGAUGCUUAAUGCUAUGCGAGAUGAUGUGAUGAUGUUAUGUUAUGUGAGAUGAUGUUUAUUCCGAAGAUACAUACACAUCCCUGCAAUAAAACACAAUCUUUUAUAAGCCUCCCUUAGGAGCUUCUUCGCCUUUUACUUCAGCGGAAUCAGCGUUUAUUUUUCGCUGUAAGCCUCCCUUAGGAGCUUCUUCGCCUUUUACUUUCAGCGGUAUUCGCGUUGACUUUUCGCGCUUCGCCUUUACUUAGGCGGUAUCAGCGUUGACUUUUCGCUGUAUGCUCUGCAUUCCCUUUGGAACGACUUUGGAGCAGAAAACUUACACUGCGCUCCCUUUGGAACGACUUUUUGUGACUUCGUCAAACUUACUCUGCGUUCCUUAGAACGACUUUUUGUUACUUCGAAGAAUUUUCGACAGUUCGAAGGUCCUUUUUAUUAUCACAAGCCUGUGAAGAAAACAUAUUUUUCUUGUAGAAAUCAACGAAACUAAUUACAUGAAACCUAAACAAUGUCCUUUAUUACAGAAAAUAAAACUGAAUGAAAAAGAUUGUUAUUAAGGUAGGAUAUUCGUCAAUAGAUGUGCUUUGACUCUGGCACAGUGCUAUUGACUGUACGAGCUUCGGACUGCUCUCUGAAAUCCCUCUGGUGUGGAGCAUACUGGCUCCCUUCUGGCUGCUGGCCUUGUUGCAACGGGGGUGGAGGCGGAGGCUGUUGCCAGGAAGCUUGAGGCUGACUCGCCGAAGCAACAGAAACUGCAGGAUGGUUGCCCACAUAUUCUGGGAUGUAGGGCGAAUGAUACGAAGCUGUAUGCAUGACCUGCUUCGGCUGAGCUUGUUGUGCUGCGGCUUCAGCUAUUUCCUUUUGCUUUUGAAUGGUAACAUGGCACAUCCUGGUAGUAUGGCCUUUGUUCUCACCGCAGAAUAAGCAAAAGAUUCUUCUCGGUUGAUCUCCAAAUCUUCCCCCAAAGCCCCUGGCGCCUCUGCCUCUUGGAGCUGGUGGUCGGAAGGAGCUUUGCUGUUGCCCCGAAGCCUGUGAGGAGCAUUGUGGCCUUUGCUGCUGGCUUCCUCUGUCAUCAUUUUGUGUAGAGUUAUGAAUUGAUCUCACGUGCCUCGGGUAGAACCUCCCUCCGAAGCCCCUGGUCAUUUCAGAAAACCUGAAAGCCUCCUCCCUUCUUUGGCGAAAAUCAUUAUCGGCCCGAAUGUACUCAUCCAUCUUCUGGAGAAGCUUCUCCAAAGUUUGAGGAGGCUUCCUGGCGAAGUACUGAGCUGACGGACCUGGCCGAAGCCCCUUGAUCAUGGCCUCGAUGACAAUUUCAUUGGGCACCGUUGGUGCCUGUGCCCUCAAACGCAAGAACCUUCGGACAUACGCCUGAAGGUAUUCUUCAUGAUCCUGAGUGCACUGGAACAGAGCCUGAGCAGUGACCGGCUUCGUCUGAAAUCCUUGAAAGCUAGUUAACAACAAGUCCUUCAGCUUCUGCCAUGAAGUGAUCGUUCCUGGUCGAAGGGAGGAAUACCAGGUUUGAGCAACACUUCUGACAGCCAUAACGAAAGAUUUGGCCAUGACUGAAGCAUUGCCACCAUACGAAGACACUGUUGCUUCGUAGCUCAUCAAAAACUGCUUCGGGUCUGAGUGGCCAUCGAAUACGGGGAGCUGAGGCGGCUUGUAGGACGGAGGCCAAGGUGUAGCCUGCAGCUCAGCGGACAGAGGAGAAGCAUCAUCAAAAACAAAAUUCCCAUGAUGGAAAUUGUCAUACCAGUCAUCUUCGUUGGGAAAACCCUCCUGAUGAAGGUCUUGAUGCUGAGGCCUUCGGUGUUGCUCAUCCUGAGCAAGAUGACGAACUUCUUCAGAGGCUUCGUCUAUCUGCCUCUGCAGUUCAGCUAGCCUGGCCAUCUUUUCUUUCUUCUCUGUACUUGUUGAUGAAGCAUCUCCAUAUCUCUGAUUUCUUGAUCUAUCUCGUCCUCUGGUGGUGUCGGACUGACAGCCUUCCUUUUCUGGCUUCGGGCCUCCCGCAGGGAGACUGUCUCCUGAUUGUGGUCCAGUGGUUGCAGAGCUGCAGCCCCAGUCGCUGAAGCCUUCUUCGGCGCCAUGACGAAGGUUUAUGAUCACCGAAGGUGUUCAAAAAAACUCAGAGUGGAAGUGAGUUCACCGGAGGUGGGCGCCAAUGUUGGGGACUUGUUCUCAAGUGCUAUGAGUUAAGAACAAGGCAACAUAGAAAAUGUUAAUCGUUAAAGUCCUUCGUCCUCCGAAGCAUUAUUUCCCUUAGGAUGUAAUGGCUUGCGGACGAAGGUUAUGAAGGACAUACCUUCAUAAAUUCAUCAAACAAUGACGAAGGAUGAAAUAUAAAGAAUGUAAAGGACAACAUGAACAAUCAUAUAUUAUUAUCGAGCAUAAACAAAAACAUCGUUGAAUUACAAGUGUACCUUCAAUCGGAAGGAGAUGACAAUACAAGCGUGACGCAAAAAGCGAAUGCCAAGUCAGCGUGAACAGUACGGGGUACUGUUCACCUAUUUAUAGGCACGGGGCACAGCCCAUACAAAAUUACAUUCAUGCCCUUUACAUUUGAUAAUAAUUCUAUAGUAAUCUAUCGAGGUCUGAAUAGCCUUUUCAUCUUUAAGUCGGUUUCAUUUUCUGCAACCACGCCGAAGCUCUCCUGCUAACAUCUUCGGCGUUGUAUCAAGACCUUCGUAUUAUCCUGGUCUUCUCCUGCCGUGAUACCGACUUGAGUUCGAAGGUACCUGCUCACACAUUAUACUUCCAGAAAUACUAUUAAAUCCUGUUUUUGAGGACCUUCGCAUGCCGAAGGUCCCCAACAAUGAGAAUCAACCUUAGCAUUUAAACUAGCAUUUUCAUUUCUAAGGUUGUCAAUCAUCUCAUGGCAAGUGCUUAGCUCACUAGAUAGUUUUUGACAUUUUUCUACUUCUAGAGCAUAAGCAUUUUUAACCUUAACAUGCUUCUUAUUUUCUUUAUAAGGAAGUCCUCUUGAGUGUCCAAGAGAUCAUCCUUUUCAUGAAUGGCACUAAUCAAUUCAUUAAGUUUUUCCUUUUGUUGCAUGUUGAGGUUGGCAAAAAGAGAUCGCAAGUUAUCCUCCUCAUCACUAGCAUUAUCAUCACUAGAAGACUCAUAUUUAGUGGAGGAGUUAGAUUUAACCUUCUUCCGUUUGCCGUCCUUUGCCAUGAGGCACUUGUGGCCGACGUUGGGGAAGAGGAGUCCCUUGGUGACGGCGAUGUUGGCGGCGUCCUCGUCGUCUGAGGAGUCGCUUGAGCUCUCGUCGGAGUCCCACUCCCGACAAACAUGGGCAUCGCCGCCCUUCUUCUUGUAGUACCUCUUCUUUUCUCUCCUCUUGCCCUUCUUGUCGUUAUCCCUGUCACUGUCACUUGAUAAUGGACAUUUUGCAAUAAAGUGACCGGGCUUACCACACUUGUAGCAAACUUUCUUGGAGCGGGACUUGUAGUCUUUCCCCCUCCUUUGCUUGAGGAUUUGGCGGAAGCUCUUGAUGACGAGCGCCAUUUCCUCAUUGUCGAGCUUGGAGGCGUCGAUUGGUUGUCUACUUGGUGUAGACUCCUCCUUCUUUUCCUCUGUCGCCUUGAAUGCGACGGGUUGAGCUUCGGAUGUGGAGGGAUCAUCAAGCUCGUUGAUCUCCCUCGAGCCUUCGAUCAUGCACUCAAAACUUACAAAAUUCCCGAUAACUUCCUCUGGGGUCAUUUUAGUAUAUCUAGGAUUACCACGAAUUAAUUGAACUUGAGUGGGGUUAAGGAAAAUGAGAGAUCUUAGAAUAACCUUAACCACUUCGUGGUCGUCCCACUUCUUGCUCCCGAGGUUGCGCACUUGGUUCACCAAGGUCUUGAGCCGGUUGUACAUGUGUUGUGGCUCUUCCCCUUUGCGAAGCCGGAACCGACCGAGCUCCCCCUCGAUCGUUUCCCGCUUGGUGAUCUUUGUGAGCUCAUCUCCCUCGUGCGCGGUUUUGAGCACAUCCCAAACCUCCUUGGCGCUCUUCAAUCCUUGAACUUUGUUAUACUCCUCUCUACUUAAAGAGGCGAGGAGUAUUGUUGUUUCUUGAGAGUUGAAGUGCUCGAUUUGGGCCACCUCAUCCUCAUCAUAGUCUUCAUCCCCUACGGACGGUACCUGUGCACCAAACUCAACAACAUCCCAUAUACUUUUGUGGAGCGAGGUUAGAUGAAAUCGCAUUAAAUCGCUCCACCUAGCGUAAUAUUCACCAUCAAAAGUUGGUGGUUUGCCUAAUGGGACGGAAAGUAAAGGUGUAUGUUUAGAAAUGCGAGGGUAGCUUAGGGGAAUCUUACUAUACUUCUUACGCUCUUGGCGUUUAGAAGUGACGGACGCCGCGUCGGAGCCGGAGGUGGAUGUUGAUGAAGUGUCGGUCUCGUAGUAGACGACUUUCCUCAUCCUCUUGUGCUUGUCCCCACUCCGAUGCGGCUUGUGAGAGGAAGAUUUCUCCUUCUUCUCUUUGUGGUGAGAAGAAGAUUUCUUCUCCUUCCCUUUGUUGGAGGAGCUCUUCUUCUUCUCCUUCCUCUUAGUGCGGGACUCUUCCGAUGAAGUGCUCCCGUGGCUUGUAGUGGGCUUUUCGCCGGUCUCCAUCUCCUUCUUGGCGUGAUCUCCCGACAUUACUUCGAGCGGUUAGGCUCUAAUGAAGAACCUGGCUUUGAUACCAAUUGAUAGUCGCCUAGAGGGGGGGUGAAUAGGGCGAAACUGAAAUUUACAAAUAUAAACACAACUACAAGCCGGGUUAGCGUUAGAAAUAUGAAACCGAGUCCGCGAGAGAGGGUGGAAAACAAAUCGCAAGCAAAUGAAGAGUGUGACACGCGGAUUUGUUUUACCGAGGUUCGGUACUCUCAAACCUACUCCCCGUUGAGGAGGCCACAAAGGUCGGGUCUCUUUCAACCCUUCCCUCUCUCAAACGAUCCCACGGAUCGAGUGAGCUUUCUCUUCUCAAUCACUUGGAACACAAAGUUCCCACAAGGACCACCACAAGUUUUGUGUCUCUUGCCUCAAUUACAAGUGAGUUUGAUCGCAAUGAAGGAAUCAAGAAAGAAGAAAGCAAUCCAAGCGCAAGAGCUCGAAAGAACACAAGCAAAUCUCUCUCUCUAGUCACUAGGGCGUUGUGUGGAAUUUGGAGAGGAUUUGAUCUCUUUGGUGUGUCUAGAAUUGAAUGCUAGAGCUCUUGUAAGUAGUUGGGAAGUGGAAAACUUGGAUGCAAUGAAUGGUUGGGUGGUUGGGGUAUUUAUAGCCCCAACCACCAAAAUAACCGUUGGUGGAGGCUGUCUGUUCGAUGGCGCACCGGACAGUCCGGUGCACACCAACAUGUCGGUGCCCCUGCCACGUCACCAGUGCCGUUGGAAUCUGACCGUUGGAGUUCUGACUUCUGGGCCCGCCUCGAUGUCCGGUGGCGCACCGGACAUGCACUGUUCACUGUCCGGUGCGCCGGCAUGGGCGACUCUGACUUCUGCGCGCGCUGCGCGCGCAUUAAAUGCAUCGCAGGUAGCCGUUGGCGCCGAAGUAGCCUUUGCUCCGUGGAUGCACCGGACAGUCCGGUGCACACCGGACAUGUCCGGUGAAUUAUAGCGGAGCAGCCGCUCUGAUUUCCCGAGGCUGGCGAGUUCCUGAGCUGCGUCCCGUUGGAGCACCGGACACCGUCCGGUGUACACCGGACAGUCCGGUGAAUUAUAGCGCGCCGGCUCUGGAGAAUUCCCGAAGGCGACGAGUUCGCGUUGAAGUCCUCUGGUGCACCGGACACUGUCUGGUGGUGCACCGGACAGUCCGGUGCGCCAGACCAGAGGAGCCUUCGGUUGCUCCUUUGCUCUUUUGUUGAACCCAACACUUGGUCUUUUUAUUGGCUAAGUGUGAACCUUUUGCACCUGUAUAACUUAUACACUAGAACAAACUAGUUAGUCCAAAGAUUUGUGUUGGGCAAUUCAACCACCAAAAUUAUAUAGGAACUAGGUGUAAGCCUAAUUCCCUUUCAAUGGUCUCCACCAGAAAUCCAAGAAUGUGAUCUAUGGCAAGGAAACAUAUGUGGGGUGAGGUGUAUGAGCGUCUGGUCGAUGAUCAAUGGCCACACAACCCCCAUUUUUGUCGAAAAUAGUCCAUGAAUGACCAUUUUCAAUAAUACCGAAGGCUAACACCUACGGAUUUUUGAGCAAGAAAUGGUCUCCACCAGAAAUCCAAGAAUGUGAUCUAUGGCAAGGAAACAUAUGUGGGGUGAGGUGUAUGAGCCUCUGGUCGAUGAUCAAUGGCCACACAACCCCCAUUUUGCCGAAAAUAGCCAUGAAUGACCAUUUACAAUAAUACCGAAGGCUAACACGUACGAGUUUUUAACCAAGAAAUGGUCUCCACGAGAAAUCCAAGAUUAUGAUCUAUGGCAAGAAAACAUAUGUGGGGUGAAGUGUACGAGCCUCUGGUCGAUGAUCAAUGGCAACACAACCCCCAUUUUUGUCGAAAAUAGCCAUGAGCGACCAUUUUCAAUAAUACUAGAGGCUAACACCUACGGAUUUUAGACCAAGAAAUGGUCUCCACCAGAAAUCCAAGAAUGUGAUCUACGACAAGGAAACAUAUGUGGGGUGAGGUGUAUGAGCCUCUAGUCGAUGAUCAAUGGCCACACAACUCCCAUUUUGCCGAAAAUAGCCAUGAAUGACCGUUUUCAAUAAUAUCAAAGGCUAACACCUACGGAUUUUUGACCAAGAAAUGGUCUCCACCAGAAAUCCAAGAAUGUGAUCUAUGGCAAGGAAACAUAUGUGGGGUGAGGUGUAUGAGCCUCUGGUCGAUGAUAAAUGGCCACACAACCCCCAUUUUUUUAUGAAAAUAGCCAUGAGCGGCCUUGAAAAUAGCCAUGAGCGACCAUUUUCAAUAAUACUAGAGGCUAACACCUACGGAUUUUAGACCAAAAAAUGGUCUCCACCAGAAAUCAAGAAUGUGAUCUAUGGCAAGGAAACAUAUGUGUAGUGAGGUGUAUGAGCCUCUAGUCGAUGAUCAAUGGCCACACAACCCCCAUUUUUGUCGAAAAUAGCCAUGAAUGACCAUUUUCAAUAAUACCGAAGGCUAACAGCGACCAUUUUCAAUAAUACUAGAGGCUAAGACCUACGGAUUUUUGACCAAGAAAUGGUCUCCACCAGAAAUCCAAGAAUGUGAUCUAUGGCAAGGAAACAUAUGUGGGGUGAGGUUUAUGAGCCUCUAGUCGAUGAUAAAUGGCCACACAACCCCCAUUUUUUAUGAGCCUCUGGUCGAUGAUCAAUGGCCACACAACCCCCAUUUUUGUCGAAAAUAGCCAUGAAUGACCAUUUACAAUAAUACCGAAGGCUAACACCUACGGAUUUUUGACCAAGAAAUGGUCUCCACCAGAAAUCCAAGAAUGUGAUCUAUGGCAAGGAAACAUAUGUGGGGUGAGGUGUAUGAGCUUGGUCGAUGAUCAAUGGCCACACAACCCCCAUUUUGCGAAAAUAGCCAUGAAUGACCAUUUUCAAUAAUACCGAAGGCUAAGACCUACGGAUUUUUGACCAAGAAAUGGUCUCCACCAGAAAUCCAAGAAUGUGAUCUAUGGCAAGGAAACAUAUGUGGGGUGAGGUGUAUGAGCCUCUGGUCGAUGAUCAAUGGCCACACAACCCCCAUUUUUGUCGAAAAUAGCCAUGAACGACCAUUUUCAAUAAUAGCCAUGACGAAUUUUCAUAUACGAGGCUAACACCUACGAUUUUUGACCAAGAAAUGGUCUCCACCAGAAAUCCAAGAAUUGUGAUUAUGGCAAGGAAACAUAUGUGUAGUAAGGUGUGAGCCUCUGGUCAUGAUCAAUGAAAACCCCAUUUUUUCGAAAAUAGCCAUGAAUGACCAUUUCAUAGAAUGACCAUUUCAAUAAUACCGAAGGCUAACACCUACGGAUUUUUGACCAAGAAAUGGUCUCCACCAGAAAUCCAAGAAUGUGAUCUAUGGCAAGGAAAAUAUGUGGGGUGAGGUGUAUGAGCCUCUAGUCGAUGAUCAAUGGCCACAAACCCCAUUUUGUCGAAAUAGCAUGAAACAUUUCAAUAAACAAGCUAACGUACGAGUUUUAAAAAAAUGGUUCACAGAAAUCAAGAAUGUAAAUGGUGAUCUAUGCAAGGAAACAUAUGUUAGUGUAUGAGCCUCUGGUCGACGAUCAAUGGCCACACAACCCUAUUUUUGUCGAAAAUAGCCAUGAACGACCAUUUUCAAUGACACUGAAGGCUAACACCUACGGAUUUUUGACCAAGAAAUGGUCUCCACCAAAAUCCAAGAAUGUGAUCUAUGGCAAGGAAACAUAUGUGGGGUGAGGUGUAUGAGCGUCUGGUCGAUGAUCAAUGGCCACACAACCCCCAUUUUUGUCGAAAAUAGCCAUGAAUGACCAUUUUCAAAAAUACCGAGGCUAACACAUUCGGAUUUUUGACCAAGAAAUGGUCUCCACCAGAAAUCCAAGAAUGUGAUCUAUGGCAAGGAAACAUAUGUGGGGUGAGGUGUAUGAGCCUCUGGUCGACGAUCAAUGGCCACACAACCCCCAUUUUUAUGAAAAUAGCCAUGAGCGACUUGAAAAUAGCCAUGACGACCUUGAAAAUAGCCAUGAACGACCAUUUUCAAUAAUACCGAAGGCUAACACGUACGAGUUUUUAACCAAGAAAUGGUUUCCACCAGAAAUCCAAGAAUGUAAUCUAUGGCAAGGAAACAUAUGUGGGGUGAGGUUUAUGAGCCUCUAGUCGAUGAUAAAUGGCCACACAACCCCCAUUUUUUAUGAAAAUAGCCAUGAGCGACCUUGAAAAUAGCCAUGAGCGACCAUUUUCAAUAAUACUAGAGGCUAACACCUACGGAUUUUAGACCAAGAAAUGGUCUCCACCAGAAAUCCAAGAAUGUGAUCUAUGGCAAGGAAACAUAUGUGUAGUGAGGUGUAUGAGCCUCUAGUCGAUGAUCAAUGGCCACACAACCCCCAUUUUUGUCGAAAAUAGCCAUGAAUGACCAUUUUCAAUAAUACCGAAGGCUAACAGCGACCAUUUUCAAUAAUACUAGAGGCUAAGACCUACGGAUUUUUGUCCAAGAAAUGGUCUCCACCAGAAAUCCAAGAAUGUGAUCUAUGGCAAGGAAACAUAUGUGGGGUGAGGUUUAUGAGCCUCUAGUCGAUGAUAAAUGGCCACACAACCCCCAUUUUUUAUGAGCCUCUGGUCGAUGAUUAAUGGCCACACAACCCCCAUUUUUGUCGAAAAUAGCCAUGAAUGACCAUUUACAAUAAUACCGAAGGCUAACACCUACGGAUUUUUGACCAAGAAAUGGUCUCCACCAGAAAUCCAAGAAUGUGAUCUAUGGCAAGGAAACAUAUGUGGGGUGAGGUGUAUGAGCCUAUGGUCGAUGAUCAAUGGCCACACAACCCCCAUUUUGCCGAAAAUAGCCAUGAAUGACCAUUUUCAAUAAUACCGAAGGCUAAGACCUACGAAUUUUUGACCAAGAAAUGGUCUCCACCAGAAAUCCAAGAAUGUGAUCUAUGGCAAGGAAACAUAUGUGGGGUGAGGUGUAUGAGCCUCUGGUCGAUGAUCAAUGGCCACACAACCCCCAUUUUUGUCGAAAAUAGCCAUGAACGACCAUUUUCAAUAAUACCGAAGGCUAACACCUACGGAUUUUUGACCAAGAAAUGGUCUCCACCAGAAAUCCAAGAAUGUGAUCUAUGGCAAGGAAACAUAUGUGGGGUGAGGUGUAUGAGCCUCUGGUCGACGAUCAAUGGCCACACAACCCUAAUUUUUGUCGAAAAUAGCCAUGAACGACCAUUUUCAAUGACACUGAAGGCUAACACCUACAAAUUUUUGACCAAGAAAUGGUCUCCACCAUAAAUCCAAGAAUGUGAUCUAUGGCAAGGAAACAUAUGUGGGGUGAGGUGUAUGAGCCUCUAGUCGACGAUCAAUGGCCGCACAACCCCCAUUUUGCCGAAAAUAGCCAUGAACGACCAUUUUCAAAAAUACCAAAGGCUAACACCUACGGAUUUUUGACCAAGAAAUGGUCUCCACCAGAAAUCCAAGAAUGUGAUCUAUGGCAAGGAAACAUAUGUGGGGUGAGGUGUACGAGCCUCUGGUCGAUGAUCAAUGGCCACAGAACCCCCAUUUUGCCGAAAAUAGCCAUGAAUGACCAUUUACAAUAAUACCGAAGGCUAACACCUACGGAUUUUUGACCAAGAAAUGGUCUCCACCAGAAAUCCAAGAAUGUGAUCUAUGGCAAGGAAACAUAUGUGGGGUGAGGUGUAUGAGCCUCUAGUCGAUGAUCAAUGGCCACACAACCCCCAUUUUUGUCAAAAAUAGCCAUGAACGACCAUUUUCAAUAAUACCGAAGGCUAACACCUACGGAUUUUUGACCAAGAAAUGGUCCAUUUUGCCGAAAAUAGCCAUGAAUGACCAUUUACAAUAAUACCGAAGGCUAACACCUACGGAUUUUUGACCAAGAAAUGGUCUCCACCAGAAAUCCAAGAAUGUGAUCUAUGGCAAGGAAACAUAUGUGGGGUGAGAUUUAUGAGCCUCUAGUCGAUGAUAAAUGGCCACACAACCCCCAUUUUUUUAUGAAAAUAGCCAUGAGCGACCAUUUUCAAUAAUAUUAGAGGCUAAGACCUACGGAUUUUUGACCAAGAAAUGGUCUCCACCAGAAAUCCAAGAAUGUGAUCUACGACAAGGAAACAUAUGUGGGGUGAGGUGUAUGAGCGUCUGGUCGAUGAUCAAUGGCCACACAACCCCCAUUUUUGUCGAAAAUAGCCAUGAACGACCAUUUUCAAUAAUACAGAAGGCUAACACCUACGGAUUUUUGACCAAGAAAUCGUCUCCACCAGAAAUCCAAGAAUGUGAUCUAUGGCAAGGAAACAUAUGUGUAGUGAGGUGUACGAGCCUCUGGUCGAUGAUCAAUGGCCACACAACCCCCAUUUUUGUCGAAAAUAGCCAUGAACGACCAUUUUCAAUAAUAUCGAAGGCUAACACCUACGGAUUUUUGACCAAGAAAUGGUCUCCACCAGAAAUCCAAGAAUAUUAGAGGCUAAGACCAUUUCUUGGUCAAAAAUCCGUACGUGUUAGCCUCUAGUAUUAUUGAAAAUGGUCGCUCAUGGCUAUUUUCAAGGUCGCUCAUGGCUAUUUUCAUAAAAAAUGGGGGUUGUGUGGCCAUUGAUCAUCGACCAGAGGCUCAUACACCUCACCCCACAUAUGUUUCCUUGCCAUAGAUCACAUUCUUGGAUUUCUGGUGGAGACCAUUUCUUGGUCAAAAAUCCGUAGGUCUUAGCCUCUAGUAUUAUUGAAAAUGGUCACUGUUAGCCUUCGGUAUUAUUGAAAAUGGUCAUUCAUGGCUAUUUUCGACAAAAAUGGGGGUUGUGUGGCCAUUGAUCAUCGACCAGAGGCUCAUACACCUCACCCCACAUAUGUUUCCUUGCCAUAGAUCACAUUCUUGGAUUUCUGGUGGAGACCAUUUCUUGGUCAAAAAUCCGUAGGUCUUAGCCUCUAGUAUUAUUGAAAAUGGUCGCUCAUGGCUAUUUUCGGCAAAAAUGGGGGUUGUGUGGCCAUUGAUCAUCGACCAGACGCUCAUACACCUCACCCCACAUAUGUUUCCUUGCCAUAGAAUGACCAUUUACAAUAAUACCGAAGGCUAACACCUACGGAUUUUUGACCAAGAAAUGGUCUCCACCAGAAAUCCAAGAAUGUGAUCUAUGGCAAGGAAACAUAUGUGGGGUGUGGUGUAUGAGCCUCUGGUCGAUGAUCAAUGGCCACACAACCCCCAUUUUUGUCGAAAAUAGCCAUGAAUGACCAUUUUCAAUAAUACCGAAGGCUAACACGUACGAGUUUUUAACCAAGAAAUGGUUUCCACCAGAAAUCCAAGAAUGUGAUCUAUGGCAAGGAAACAUAUGUGGGGUGAGGUGUAUGAGCGUCUGGUCGAUGAUCAAUGGCCACACAACCCCCAUUUUUGUCGAAAAUAGCCAUGAACGACCUUGAAAAUAGCCAUGAGCGACCAUUUUCAAUAAUACUAGAGGCUAACACCUACGGAUUUUAGACCAAGAAAUGGUCUCCACCAGAAAUCCAAGAAUGUGAUCUAUGACAAGGAAACAUAUGUGGGGUGAGGUGUAUGAGCGUCUGGUCGAUGAUCAAUGGCCACACAACCCCCAUUUUUGUCGAAAAUAGCCAUGAACGACCAUUUUCAAUAAUACCGAAGGCUAACACCUACGGAUUUUUGACCAAGAAAUGGUCUCCACCAGAAAUCCAAGAAUGUGAUCUAUGGCAAGGAAACAUAUGUGGGGUGAGGUGUAUGAGCCUCUAGUCGAUGAUCAAUGGCCAGACAACCCCCAUUUUUGUCGAAAAUAGCCAUGAAUGACCAUUUUCAAAAAUACCAAAGGCUAACACGUACGGAUUUUUGACCAAGAAAUGGUCUCCACCAGAAAUCCAAGAAUGUGAUCUAUGGCAAGGAAACAUAUGUGGGGUGAGGUGUACGAGCCUCUGGUCGAUGAUCAAUGGCCACACAACCCCCAUUUUGCCGAAAAUAGCCAUGAAUGACCAUUUUCAAUAAUACCGAAGGCUAACACGUACGAGUUUUUAACCAAGAAAUGGUUUCCACCAGAAAUCCAAGAAUGUAAUCUAUGGCAAGGAAACAUAUGUGGGGUGAGGUUUAUGAGCCUCUAGUCGAUGAUAAAUGGCCACACAACCCCCAUUUUUUAUGAAAAUAGCCAUGAGCGACCUUGAAAAUAGCCAUGAGCGACCAUUUUCAAUAAUACUAGAGGCUAACACCUACGGAUUUUAGACCAAGGAAUGGUCUCCACCAGAAAUCCAAGAAUGUGAUCUAUGGCAAGGAAACAUAUGUGGGGUGAGGUGUAUGAGCGUCUGGUCGAUGAUCAAUGGCCACACAACCCCCCUAUUUUUGUAGAAAAUAGCAUGAACGACCAUUUUCAAUAAUACCGAAGGCUAACACCUACGGAUUUUUGACCAAGAAAUGGUCUCCACCAGAAAUCCAAGAAUGUGAUCUAUGGCAAGGAAACAUAUGUGGGGUGAGGUGUAUGAGCCUCUGGUCGAUGAUCAAUGGCCACACAACCCCCAUUUUUGUCGAAAAUAGCCAUGAACGACCAUUUUCAAUAAUAUUAGAGGCUAAGACCUACGGAUUUUUGACCAAGAAAUGGUCUCCACCAGAAAUCCAAGAAUGUGAUCUAUGGCAAGGAAACAUAUGUGGGGUGAGGUGUAUGAGCCUCUGGUCGAUGAUCAAUGGCCACACAACCCCCAUUUUUGUCGAAAAUAGCCAUGAACGACCAUUUUCAAUAAUAUCGAAGGCUAACACCUACGGAUUUUUGACCAAGAAAUGGUCUCCACCAGAAAUCCAAGAAUGUGAUCUACGACAAGGAAACAUAUGUGGGGUGAGGUGUAUGAGCCUCUGGUCGACGAUCAAUGGCCACACAACCCCCAUUUUGCCGAAAAUAGCCAUGAAUGACCAUUUUCAAUAAUACCGAAGGCUAACACGUACGAGUUUUUAACCAAGAAAUGGUUUCCACCAGAAAUCCAAGAAUGUAAUCUAUGGCAAGGAAACAUAUGUGGGGUGAGGUUUAUGAGCCUCUAGUCGAUGAUAAAUGGCCACACAACCCCCAUUUUUUAUGAAAAUAGCCAUGAGCGACCAUUUUCAAUAAUACUAGAGGCUAACACCUACGGAUUUUAGACCAAGAAAUGGUCUCCACCAGAAAUCCAAGAAUGUGAUCUAUGGCAAGGAAACAUAUGUGGGGUGAGGUGUAUGAGCGUCUGGUCGAUGAUCAAUGGCCACACAACCCCCAUUUUUUAUGAAAAUAGCCAUGAGCGACCAUUUUCAAUAAUAUUAGAGGCUAAGACCUACGGAUUUUUGACCAAGAAAUGGUCUCCACCAGAAAUCCAAGAAUGUGAUCUAUGGCAAGGAAACAUAUGUGGGGUGAGGUGUAUGAGCCUCUGGUCGAUGAUCAAUGGCCACACAACCCCCAUUUUUGUCGAAAAUAGCCAUGAAUGACCAUUUACAAUAAUACCGAAGGCUAACACCUACGGAUUUUUGACCAAGAAAUGGUCUCCACCAGAAAUCCAAGAAUGUGAUCUAUGGCAAGGAAACAUAUGUGGGGUGAGGUGUAUGAGCCUCUGGUCGAUGAUCAAUGGCCACACAACCCCCAUUUUUUAUGAAAAUAGCCAUGAACGACCAUUUUCAAUAAUACCGAAGGCUAACACCUACGGAUUUUUGACCAAGAAAUGGUCUCCACCAGAAAUCCAAGAAUGUGAUCUAUGGCAAGGAAACAUAUGUGGGGUGAGGUGUAUGAGCCUCUGGUCGAUGAUCAAUGGCCACACAACCCCCAUUUUUGUCGAAAAUAGCCAUGAACGACCAUUUUCAAUAAUACCGAAGGCUAACACCUACGGAUUUUUGACCAAGAAAUGGUCUCCACCAGAAAUCCAAGAAUGUGAUCUAUGGCAAGGAAACAUAUGUGGGGUGAGGUGUAUGAGCCUCUGGUCGAUGAUCAAUGGCCACACAACCCCCAUUUUUUGUCGAAAAUAGCCAUGAACGACCAUUUUCAAUUUUCAAUAAUACGAAGGCUAACACCUACGGAUUUUUAGACCAAGAAAUGGUCUCCACCAGAAAUCCAAGAAUGUGAUCUAUGGCAAGGAAACAUAUGUGGGGUGAGGUGUAUGAGCCUCUGGUCGAUGAUCAAUGGCCACACAACCCCCAUUUUUGUCGAAAAUAGCCAUGAACGACCAUUUUCAAUAAUACCGAAGGCUAACACCUACGGAUUUUUGACCAAGAAAUGGUCUCCACCAGAAAUCCAAGAAUGUGAUCUAUGGCAAGGAAACAUAUGUGGGGUGAGGUGUAUGAGCCUCUGGUCGAUGAUCAAUGGCCACACAACCCCCAUUUUUGUCGAAAAUAGCCAUGAACGACCAUUUUCAAUAAUACCGAAGGCUAACACCUACGGAUUUUUGACCAAGAAAUGGUCUCCACCAGAAAUCCAAGAAUGUGAUCUAUGGCAAGGAAACAUAUGUGGGGUGAGGUGUAUGAGCCUCUGGUCGAUGAUCAAUGGCCACACAACCCCCAUUUUUGUCGAAAAUAGCCAUGAACGACCAUUUUCAAUAAUACGAAGGCUAACACCUACGGAUUUUUGACCAAGAAAUGGUCUCCACCAGAAAUCCAAGAAUGUGAUCUAUGGCAAGGAAACAUAUGUGGGGUGAGGUGUAUGAGCCUCUGGUCGAUGAUCAAUGGCCACACAACCCCCAUUUUUGUCGAAAAUAGCCAUGAACGACCAUUUUCAAUAAUACGAAGGCUAACACCUACGGAUUUUUGACCAAGAAAUGGUCUCCACCAGAAAUCCAAGAAUGUGAUCUAUGGCAAGGAAACAUAUGUGGGGUGAGGUGUAUGAGCCUCUGGUCGAUGAUCAAUGGCCACACAACCCCCAUUUUUGUCGAAAAUAGCCAUGAACGACCAUUUUCAAUAAUACGAAGGCUAACACCUACGGAUUUUUGACCAAGAAAUGGUCUCCACCAGAAAUCCAAGAAUGUGAUCUAUGGCAAGGAAACAUAUGUGGGGUGAGGUGUAUGAGCCUCUGGUCGAUGAUCAAUGGCCACACAACCCCCAUUUUUGUCGAAAAUAGCCAUGAACGACCAUUUUCAAUAAUACGAAGGCUAACACCUACGGAUUUUUGACCAAGAAAUGGUCUCCACCAGAAAUCCAAGAAUGUGAUCUAUGGCAAGGAAACAUAUGUGGGGUGAGGUGUAUGAGCCUCUGGUCGAUGAUCAAUGGCCACACAACCCCCAUUUUUGUCGAAAAUAGCCAUGAACGACCAUUUUCAAUAAUACCGAAGGCUAACACCUACGGAUUUUUGACCAAGAAAUGGUCUCCACCAGAAAUCCAAGAAUGUGAUCUAUGGCAAGGAAACAUAUGUGGGGUGAGGUGUAUGAGCCUCUGGUCGAUGAUCAAUGGCCACACAACCCCCAUUUUUGUCGAAAAUAGCCAUGAACGACCAUUUUCAAUAAUACGAAGGCUAACACCUACGGAUUUUUGACCAAGAAAUGGUCUCCACCAGAAAUCCAAGAAUGUGAUCUAUGGCAAGGAAACAUAUGUGGGGUGAGGUGUAUGAGCCUCUGGUCGAUGAUCAAUGGCCACACAACCCCCAUUUUUGUCGAAAAUAGCCAUGAACGACCAUUUUCAAUAAUACCGAAGGCUAACACCUACGGAUUUUUGACCAAGAAAUGGUCUCCACCAGAAAUCCAAGAAUGUGAUCUAUGGCAAGGAAACAUAUGUGGGGUGAGGUGUAUGAGCCUCUGGUCGAUGAUCAAUGGCCACACAACCCCCAUUUUUGUCGAAAAUAGCCAUGAACGACCAUUUUCAAUAAUACCGAAGGCUAACACCUACGGAUUUUUGACCAAGAAAUGGUCUCCACCAGAAAUCCAAGAAUGUGAUCUAUGGCAAGGAAACAUAUGUGGGGUGAGGUGUAUGAGCGUCUGGCCUCACUACACAUAUGUUUCCUUGCCAUAUAUCACAUUCUUGGAUUUAUGGUAGAGACCAUUUCUUGGUCAAAAAUCCGUAGGUGUUAGCCUUCGGUAUUAUUGAAAAUGGUCAUUCAUGGCUAUUUUCGACACAAAUGGGGGUUGUGUGGCCAUUGAUCAUCGACCAGAGGCUCGUACACCUCACCCACAUAUGUUUCCUUGCCAUAGAUCACAUUCUUGGAUUUCUGGUGGAGACCAUUUCUUGGUCAAAAAUCCGUAGGUGUUAGCCUUCGGUAUUAUUGAAAAUGGUCGUUCAUGGCUAUUUUCGACAAAAAUGGGGGUUGUGUGGCCAUUGAUCAUCGACCAGAGGCUCAUACACCUCACCCCACAUAUGUUUCCUUGCCAUAGAUCACAUUCUUGGAUUUCUGGUGGAGACCAUUUCUUGGUUAAAAACUCGUCCGUGUUAGCCUUCGGUAUUAUUGAAAAUGGUCGUUCAUGGCUAUUUUCGACAAAAAUUUGGGUUGUGUGGCCAUUGAUCGUCGACCAGAGGCUCUGUUGGGGACUUGUUCUCAAAUGCUAAGAAUUAAGAACAAGGCAACACAAAAAAUGUUAAGUGUUAAGGUCCUUCGUCCUCCAUAACGAUAUAUCCCUUCGGGAUAUAAAGCAUCUCGGACGAAGGUUACGAAGGACAUACCUUCGUAAGCAUAACAACGAAGAAUGAAGCAUUCGCAUAAAUCAUAGAAUAUGAAAUAAACAUUUAAACAUUGUCAUAGAAUUAUCUCUACUUGUAUUAAUGAAUAUAAAUGGCUUUGAAUUACAAAUGUACCUUCGGUCCUGCGGAAGGCAAAGUACAAGCGUGAUGCGGAAGCAAAUGACAGGUUCACGUGAAUAGUACAGAGGUACUGUUCAUCUAUUUAUAGGCACAGGUCGCAGCCUGUGACAAAUUACAAUUAUGCCCCUUGCGAAAGUUUAUAGCAUUGACUCAGACCUAUAUGUGUAAAAAGGUCAUUCUAUCUCUAUGUCGGUUCAAAACGCCGAAGCUCCAUGAAAAGGGACCUUCGGCCAUCUCUUGGAGACGACUUCAGCCGAAGCUGCUUCUUCGUGUGAGACCUUCGGCGCACCGAAGCACGACCCCAACAGUAGCCCCUUUCGCGGUGCUAGAUCGUUCUUCGUAACGAGCUUGACCCGUGAAAAAAGCCUCUUCAGCUUCGGGAAGCCGAAGGUCCAAAAAACACCUUCCCUGAGCUCGUUGCGGAGAAGCGAUCCGACUUCCGAGCGCGUGUCGGUCCCACCUUGCAGAGUUACUGUUUGAUCCUUGCGGUCCACUGCGCAGCGGGUACGAGUUACUGGCGCCUGGUGUAACAAUUCCGCCGCUUCGCGUUCUUACCUGCAGCACUAUAUAAACUGACAAGUAGUUGUGAAGUUACUACAGCAUUCAUUGCUAUUUGCACUGUUUUGCUGCCGAAAUUUUUCAUCAUAGCCGAAGCUUAAGUCCCAAAAUCGAACGAAGGUGCUUCUCAACGUCCGCUUCGUCAGAAAGAAGAGCUUCGGAGAGAAGAAAAAAGUAAAAAGUUUCUGACUUCCCAAACUUAAAAUCAAAUGGCGAGAAUUCGAUCUACUGCCAAAGUUGUACGUGAGGGAGACGAAGCCGAAGGUUCAAACACUGUGCCCAUCUCCGAAGCGAUGCAGCGCUCCGGUCUAGUGACUGCGGAAGAGAGGCCUGGUGCCGAAGCAAACCCGACAACAGCCGAAGAAGAAAACAUUGAUGGGACUGACUCCGGAGAUGACUACCACAUGGCUACACCCAGCAAGCCCAGUCACCUGGAUUUUGGAAAAUCAACUGUUUCAAAGGCUGACCUUGCGAAGAUGGUAAAAGCAGGUUUUUUCAAAGAAGAUCAGAAGAAGCUACUUCGCUUCGGAGGAGAGGAGACUACCCCGAAGCCAGAGAAGGAUGAGAUUGUAAUUUUCAAAAGCUUUUUAAAAGCUGGGCUGAGAUUUCCUCUCCAUGGAAUUAUUGGAGAUGUGUUGCAAAAGUUUGGCAUUUAUUUUCACCAAUUGACUCCUAACGCCAUCGUUAGACUCAAUGUUUAUAUCUGGGCCCUCCGAAGCCAAGCUGUGGAACCGUUUGCCGACAGCUUCUGCCGAGCCCACGAAUUACAUUACCAAACAAAGGCCAGAACAGACGGACUACAUGAUAAUUUCGGCUGUUACAAUUUUGCCUACCGGAAGACACAAAGUGUCCUGUCAUCAGCUACCGAAGCAAAUGGCCAGCAGGCUGGAAGUCUGAGUGGUUCUACGUAAAAGUUGACGAAGACAGAGAAAAAUUGGUACAAAGCCCUCUGGAAUUAAUCUUCGGAGAGACGAGGCCACACUGCCACAUCGGCGAUUUAAAGGGUCCUACCUGGGCCGCUCUGGGUGAAUUCGAAAUUAUUUCAGAACAUAUUGGCACCAGGGAUCUAGUUCAGGAAUUUUUGGCAUUCAGAGUUUUCCCUACUUUAAAAGAGUGGGAGAUGCCGAAGCUGGAGGGAGAGAAGAAGGAGGGGAGCUUGUUCGUCUGCCUUAUCACUUUAAAUUCAAGAAGUACUUUAAGAAACCCUGCAAAGAGUGGUUAGACACAGUUGAGACAAUGUGCAAUGAAAUCUUGGGGAAUUACUCCAAAAAGGAGGAUCAAUUAAUGACAGCAGCCUUCGGCACCCGCCGAAGCGAAGGCUGAACCGAGUAUUCGAUGCCCUGGGCUUCGAGUAUCCAGACUAUGAGCAGUUGAAUAAGGGUGCCGGAGGCCACAAAAGAAAAAGAGUGGCUGAAAUUCUGACCAAGGAUGAAGAGCAACCAGCAGCAGAGAAGAAAAUUCCGAAGAAAAGGAAAAUAUCAACUCCGAAACGGAAAAUAUCCGAAGAAGAGAGAACCCCCACACCGCCUUCUACUAGCGACAUAGAAGAAAUUUUAAAGGUAAUGACUGAACCCAUGCCUACGAAGCUAAGUCCACUAGGGCUCCAACUGACGAAGCUUUUUCGAAAGGUGGACGAGCCGGAUCAGACGAAGACAAGCAAACCCAAGCGGCAAAGAAUCAUUGCGGUAACUGAAGUUAUCGAUAAGACGCCGCCAAGGGCGUCAAUCCAAAAAACGGCAGCUGCCGAAGGUGCAGCAAUCGUUGAAGGUGUAACUUCGGAGGUCGCGGCUACCGAAGCCGCUACAGCCGAAGAUACAAACUUAGAAACCACGAUUACGAAUAUCAACAAGAUUUUGGAAGACAUGGCCGCGGAAGAAACUGGUGCUACUACUGAAAAAACCAUGGCCACAGUGCCUGAAAAAGGAAAAGAAAUAGCCGAAGACCCUUCGGAUGACGAAGCAUACACUUUCCAGAACUUAGUUGGGCAAAAACUGACGAAGGAGGAAAUAGAAGAACUUAAAGAAUACGCCAAGUCUUGCGGGUACAAGUCAGGUGCCCUCCUAUUUGGGGGUGUAGAUGAUGAACAACUGGGCUGCAUCCGGGACUCAGCUGGGGCUAAGGUCAUCGGUACUUUAUCAAAGAGUAUCGGUUUUCCGAAGUUGGAGUCAGAUAUCAGCCGCUACCGACGACAACAUGUCGUUGGUAGUUUGUUUUACUCCAACUUCAAGGUAAAUGACUUGUCCCCUAACUUUUAUUGCUCCUAACAAAAACAUGUCUGAUGAAGGUUGUGUUUGUGUAGAGUAUGCUAUUGAGCAAGGCCUUACAAAUGCAGCAGGAUCUUGAAGAUAAAAAGCAUGAAGUUAUAAUUGAAAAUUUGGAAAACAAAAUAAAGGAACAAUCAGAUGCUUUUGAGAAAAAGAACUUCGAACUCCAGGCAGCCGAAGGUUUACUGGCGGAAGCUGAAGCAAAAAUAUUAGAACUGAACACGAAGCUUCUCCGCCAGUCUGAGCAGUUCGAACAAGAAAAACAAGAUCUCAAUGCAAAACUUGAAGCCGAAGCUCAGCAAAAUUCGGAUUUGAGAAAAUUACUGACAAAUCUUCAAGAAAAAUGCCUAGAAUUUAGCAACAAGUGCAUUCAGCGACUAAGAAAGAUUUUUCAUUCGGUUGGAGCUAGCAGCGAAAAAUUUACCCCCUCAGCUGAAGACCUACCACAAACCUUCGAACACAUUGAGGGGGAAAUUGACGAGCUCGACGAAGUCAUAGCUGGGCAUGGUGAUUUCUGUGCCUGGGUAGCUUCUCGAGGGACUGCUGCAGCUUCAUGAAGGCUGGCUGUGAACAUGGAAAAGUUGUUAACAGGCCCAACUUCGCCUUAUCUCCAUCAAUCCUGGAUGAUAUGCCUGACCUUGCCCGAAGUAUCUCCAACAGAUUUAUAAAAAUGAUAUGGACAAAAGGCGGGCGGGAGAAGGCUGGAGAUGAAGCACGAAGCCAUCUUGAACCAGUAAGAGAUAAUACCUUUUUCUUUGCACUUGAUUUUUACUCACGAUUCCUUGAUUUAUGUAGGUUGACGAAGGUGAAGAUGAUGCCUAAUUAUGUCGCCGAACUGUCGAACUGUCGCCGAAGCUGAAACUUAAUGAAGAUCAGUAGAAAUGUACUAUAGGAAAAAACUCAGGAUACUUUUGUAACAAUUUUGUAAAUACAAUUGAACUGUUCUCAAGGAACUUUGUACAUACCUUGUAAUAUAUCCUUACCCUUCGAUUGAGUCGCUUUGAUGUGGACGAAAUCAGUAUUUUGAGCCGAAGGCGAAAAAACACCUUCCCUUCUUUUCGUACACAACGAAGCCUAAACGGUCGCUUCCUCUUUUUGCCAAAGCUUUUCUUCACAUAGCAAAACAUAAAAAACUACUUCUUCUUUCUGCCGAAGCUUUUACAUAGCAAGACAUAAAAGACUACUUCUUCUUUCUGCCGAAGCUUUUACAUAGCAAGACAUAAAAGACUACUUCUUCUUUCUGCCGAAGCUUUACAUAGCAAACAUAAAAACUACUUCUUCUUUCUGCCGAAGCUUUUACAUAGCAAAACAUAAAAGACUACUACUCUUAUACACAACGAUUCAUAAAAAUCCAGUUCUCCCUUAUACUGAAACUUUUCUUUGUGCCAAAGCAACGGAACUUUUCACUUUUGCACACAACAUAGCGUAACAAGUCAUAAAAAGGCACUUCUCCGAAGCUUUUUUGCCGAAGCAGCCACUUGGGAACACAAAUGCUAUGAAUGAAUGCUUAUGCAUGCGAAUGUUAUGAUGUAAUGUAAUGCACGAAUGAAUGUCCGAAGCAUAUGUCCGAAGCCAUAUUGUCAGCCAUUACUUGGAAACAACCACACAUUAGCUCUGCAUUCCCUUAGAACGACUUUGGAGCUUCUUCGCCUCUUACUUAGGCAAUGUCAGCGUUGACUUUUCGCUGUAAGCUCUGCAUCCCCUUAGGGACGUCUUUGGAGCUUCUUCGUCUUUUACUUAGACGGUAUAAGCUCUGCAUUCCCUUGGGAACGACUUUGGAGCUUCUUCGCCUUUUACUUUCGGCGGAAUCAGCGUUGACUUUUCGCUGUAAGCUCUGCAUCCCCUUAGGGACGUCUUUGGAGCUUUUUCUCUUUUUGGUUUCGGCACUCGAUGGUGCGCUCUCAGCUUUUACAUGUACAUCUUUGGGGGAUUUUGCUCUUAUAAACUAAAAAGAAAAAUUACAUGUGAUGGCCCCAUUAAAAACCUUUCUCCCCCUUUAGAAAGGAAAAGGGUGCCAUGAAAAAGAAAAGAAAAGUCAAAAUUACAUCGAGUUAUACAUAAAACCGCCGAAGCUCAUCCGCAUUCCAAGAUCUUGGAAUUUCAUUGCCAUCCAUGUCCUUCAGUCUGUACGAACCAGGCCUUGACGAAGAUGCUACUAAGAAAGGCCCUUCCCAUUCAGUUGCAAUUUGCCCACUGUAUCCGGAUUGGCCACUCUCCGAAGCACCAAGUGUCCUGGCUCAAUAUUUUUUAGCCGGACCUUUCUAUCUCGCCAUUUAACCGUUUCAGCCUGGUACUUAUUGAUAUUCUCCACGGCCUGAAGCCUGAUCCCUUCUAGGGCAUCUUUUUCCACGAGACAAGUAUCUUCGGGACCUGAUUCUGCCGAAGCUACCACUCUUAUUGAUCCAGCUUUGCUUCUUCCGGGGUUAUUGCUUCGUCACCAAAUAACAACUUAAAUGGGGUGAAUCCUGUAGAUCUUGAUGUUGUUGUGUUAUGGCUCCAUACCACCUUGGUAAGCUGAUCUGGCCACUUUCCCCUUGGUUGAUUGAAGAUUAGCUUCAUUAUUCCUGUCAUUAUGAUGCCGUUGGCCCUUUCAACAAGCCCAUUCGACUCCGGGUGCCUGACUGACGCAAAGUGGAUCUUCGUGCCAAUUUGAUCACAAAAAUUUCUGAAUUCUUCGGAGUCAAAUUGUGUUCCAUUAUCUACAGUUAUAGCCUUCGGCACUCCGAAGCGACAGACAAUAUUCUGCCAGAAAAAUUUUUGAACAGUGGCCGAAGUUAUUGUAGCUAAUGGCUUCGCCUCAAUCCACUUGGAAAAAUAUUCCACAGCAACUACAACAUAUUUCAGAUUGCCCUGAGCCGGUGGUAAUGGGCCCAGCAGAUCGAGGCCCCACCUUUGCAAUGGCCAGAUGGGUUGUAUUAGCUGUGUCAAAGACGAAGGUUGUUUUUGAUCUCUUGCACAUUUCUGACAACCUUCGCACUUUUGAACUAACUCAGCUGCAUCCGAAGCUGCCUUCGGCCAAUAAAAACCUUGUCGGAACACUUUUCCAAGUAACGGCCUGGAUCCGAUGUGGGAUCCACAAAGGCCUGCAUGUAUCUCCUUCAUCAACUCUAUACCUUCGGCUCUAGACAAGCACUUGAGCAGCGGGGCACAAACUCCAUGCUUGUAUAACUCCCCUUCUAUAAUGAUAUACGGACGAGCUCUUGCCUCUAUUCUUUUAUUAUAAGCUUCGUCAUCUGAUAGGAAGUUGCCCUGAAGGUAAGAAAUUAUUUCAGUUCUCCAAUCUUCACUGUACACGGGAGAGAUAGUAAGAACUGCUCUUUCAAGUAACUCUACUGAAGGUGCCUUUAUUGUUUCGAAGAAUACAUCCGAAGGUAACGGCAGCCCCUGUGCUGCAGACCUGGCUAACAAAUCAGCAUGUUCAUUUUGCCCUCGAGGGAUAUUCUUAACAGAAAAUCCUUCGAAGGAAGCUUCGAUCCUUCGGACUGUGUCUAAGUAUUUUUCAAGCUUCGGGUCUUUAGCCUUGCAACUUUUGUCAAUAUGACCCGAAACAAUCUGAGAGUCAGUUUUAAGGAUCGCCCUCCUGAUCCCCAUCGCCUUUAGCUUCCGAAGACCCAGGAGCAAGGCUUCGUACUCAGCAAUAUUAUUUGUGCAGCUGAAGUCCAGUCUUGCUGCAUAGCAAGUUUUAACCUUGGACGGUGAAAUCAAAACAGCAGCUGCUCCUGCUCCGAAGGUUCCCCAGGAGCCAUCACAAAACACUGUCCAAGCUUCGGCAUCUUUAUUCGCUUCUUCGCCCUGAGCCCCUGGCGUCCAGUCGGCAAUAAAAUCUGCCAAUGCUUGAGACUGAAUCGAGGAUCUGUGCACAUAAUCAAUGUAAAAUUCAUUAAGCUCCGCAGCCCAUUUUCCAAUUCGGCCAGUAGCUUCUUUAUUUCUCAUGAUAUCUUUCAACGGCUGCGAAGAAGGAACAAUAAUAUUAUAUGCCUGAAAAUAAUGCCGAAGCUUCCUGGAUGCCAUUAGAACGGCAUACAACACCUUCUCCAGUUCUGUAUAAUUUUUCUUUGAGACACUAAGGACCUCAGAUACAAAAUAUACUGGGACCUGCUUCUUGAUUUGUCCAUCAAACUUCUCCUGCACAAGUGCCGCACUUACUGCUGAGUGCGAAGCUGCCACAUACAACAACAGAGGAGCCCCUGGCAUUGGUGGAGUUAAUGUUGUUAGAUCUAUCAGGUAUUGCUUGAGUUCUUCGAAAGCUUUUUGUUGAGCUGGGCCCCAUUGAAAGACUUCAGCUGAUUUUAGCACCUCGAAGAAGGGUAGAUUUCUUUCCGCUGAUCUGGAUAUAAAUCUGUUUAGAGAAGCCAGUCUUCCUGUCAAUCUUUGGGCCCCCUUUCUUGUGGUUGGUGGCUCCAUUCGAAGUAUAGCUUCGAUUUUAUUUGGGUUAGCUUCAAUUCCCUUUGUUGAAACCAAGCAUCCAAGGAACUUACCCUUCUUCACUCCGAAGACACAUUUUUCUGGAUUCAGCUUCAGACCAGCUUGUCUGAAGCUGGCGAAGGUCUCCUGCAGAUCAGCAAUAUGGUCUUCUUGCUUCGUGCUUUUUACAAUAAUGUCAUCAACAUAGGUCAACACAUUUCUGCCUAUCUGAGAUUGGAGAACCUUCGCAGUCAUCCUGCUGAAACUCCCUCCUGCAUUCUUAAGCCCCUCAGGCAUCCGAAGAUAGCAAUAUGUACCACUUGGGGUUAUGAAACUAGUCUUCGGCUCAUCCUCCUUUUUCAUCCAGAUUUGAUGAUAGCCUGAAUAACAAUCCAGGAGACUCAUGAGUUCCGAAGAAGCUGCUGCAUCAACUAAAGAGUCUAUCCGUGGCAGCGGGAACUCAUCCUUCGGACAAGCCUUGUUGAGAUCUGUGAAAUCAAUACACAUUCUCCACUUUCCAUUGGCCUUCUUCACCAUAACAGUGUUAGCUAGCCAUUCUGGAUACUUUACUUCUCUGAUAACUCCUGCACUUAGGAGUCUUUUUACUUCGUUGCGAGCCCCUUCGGCCUUGUCAUCAGACAUUUUCCGAAGCCUCUGCUUGCGGGGUCUGAAGGAUGGGUCAACAUUGAGCGAAUGUUCAAUAACAUCCCGAUUCACUCCACAAAGAUCAUUGGCUGACCAUGCAAAAACAUCUUUAUUGUUGAAUAAAACCUUAUCAAGGUUUUCUCUUGAUCUUCAGAUAAUUGCGAGCCCAAUAGCACCUUCUGCUCUGCUAUAUCCUCACACAGCAGCAUGGGCUUCGGCUGAUCAGCCGAAGCUGCUUUUUCCCUCCUGAACUUAUACUGUUCACAAGCUUCAACUCCAUCUAUAUUAUGAUUGCCUUGGAAUCAGUCCAGCUUCCUUCGGCCCUUCUGGCAGCUUCCUGACUCCCAUGAAUAGCAAUAGGCCCUUGGUCCGAAGGUAUCUUCAUGCAGAGAUAAGCUGGGUGAAGAAUUGCUUCAAAAGCAUUUAGAGUACCACGACCAAUGAUGGCGUUGUAGGGGUAUUCCAUGUCAACAAUAUCAAACACAAUUUGCUCAGUCCUUGUGUUAUUAACAAAUCCGAAGGUUACCGGCAUGGUAAUCUUCCCGAGUGCCACAAUCUGCCGCCCUCCGAAGCCACAAAGAGGGUGCGUAGCAUCAUGAAUCUUGUCUUCAGGCUCUUGCAUCUGUCUGAAGGCUUUGGCAAAUAUGAUGUCAGCUGCACUGCCUGUGUCAACUAGGACAUUGUGAACCAGAAACCCUUUGAUCACACAAGAAAUGACCAUAGCAUCAUUGUGAGGAUAGUCCUUGAGCUGAAGAUCUUCCUGAGAGAAGGUAAUUGGAAUGUGAGACCAUUUUGACUUAAUGAAGGGUCCCUGCACUCCAACAUGCUGCACCCUUCUCUGAGCCUCCUUCUUCUGCUUUUUGUUAGCUGGCUCUGAGCAAGAACCGCCUGUUAUCGGGAGCACCAGCUUCGAAGCCGAAGCAGCUCCAGCUUGAGUGUUGAACGAAGCCAUCAGCUCAGAAAGGUGGAAGUGAGUUGACCGGAGGUGGGCGCCAAUGUUGGGGACUUGUUCUCAAAUGCUAAGAAUUAAGAACAAGGCAACACAAAAAUGUUAAGUGUUAAGGUCCUUCGUCCUCCAUAACGAUAUAUCCCUUCGGGAUAUAAAGCAUCUCGGACGAAGGUUACGAAGGACAUACCUUCGUAAGCAUAACAACGAAGAAUGAAGCAUUCGCAUAAAUCAUAGAAUAUGAAAUAAACAUUUAAACAUUGUCAUAGAAUUAUCUCUACUUGUAUUAAUGAAUAUAAAUGGCUUUGAAUUACAAAUGUACCUUCGGUCCUGCGGAAGGCAAAGUACAAGCGUGAUGCGAAGCAAAUGACAGGUUCACGUGAAUAGUACAGAGGUACUGUUCAUCUAUUUAUAGGCACAGGUCGCAGCCUGUGACAAAUUACAAUUAUGCCCCUUGCGAAAGUUUAUAGCAUUGACUCAGACCUAUAUGUGUAAAAAGGUCAUUCUAUCUCUAUGUCGGUUCAAAACGCCGAAGCUCCAUGAAAAGGGACCUUCGGCCAUCUCUUGGAGACGACUUCAGCCGAAGCUGCUUCUUCGUGUGAGACCUUCGGCGCACCGAAGCACGACCCCAACAGGCUCAUACACCUCACCCCACAUAUGUUUCCUUGCCAUAGAUCACAUUCUUGGAUUUCUGGUGGAGACCAUUUCUUGGUCAAAAAUCCGUAGGUGUUAGCCUUCGAUAUUAUUGAAAAUGGUCGUUCAUGGCUAUUUUCGACAAAAAUGGGGGUUGUGUGGCCAUUGAUCAUCGACCAGAGGCUCAUACACCUCACCCCACAUAUGUUUCCUUGCCAUAGAUCACAUUCUUGGAUUUCUGGUGGAGACCAUUUCUUGGUCAAAAAUCCGUAGGUGUUAGCCUUCGGUAUUAUUGAAAAUGGUCGUUCAUGGCUAUUUUCGACAAAAAUGGGGGUUGUGUGGCCAUUGAUCAUCGACCAGACGCUCAUACACCUCACCCCACAUAUGUUUCCUUGCCAUAGAUCACAUUCUUGGAUUUCUGGUGGAGACCAUUUCUUGGUCUAAAAUCCGUAGGUGUUAGCCUCUAGUAUUAUUGAAAAUGGUCGCUCAUGGCUAUUUUCAAGGUCGCUCAUGGCUAUUUUCAUAAAAAUGGGGGUUGUGUGGCCAUUUAUCAUCGACUAGAGGCUCAUAAACCUCACCCGACAUAUGUUUCCUUGCCAUAGAUUACAUUCUUGGAUUUCUGGUGGAAACCAUUUCUUGGUUAAAAACUCGUACGUGUUAGCCUUCGGUAUUAUUGAAAAUGGUCAUUCAUGGCUAUUUUCGGCAAAAUGGGGGUUGUGUGGCCAUUGAUCGUCGACCAGAGGCUCAUACACCUCACCCCACAUAUGUUUCCUUGCCAUAGAUCACAUUCUUGGAUUUCUGGUGGAGACCAUUUCUUGGUUAAAAACUCGUACGUGUUAGCCUUCGGUAUUAUUGAAAAUGGUCGUUCAUGGCUAUUUUCGACAAAAAUUAGGGUUGUGUGGCCAUUGAUCGUCGACCAGAGGCUCAUACACCUCACCCCACAUAUGUUUCCUUGCCAUAGAUCACAUUCUUGGAUUUCUGGUGGAGACCAUUUCUUGGUCAAAAAUCCGUAGGUGUUAGCCUUCGAUAUUAUUGAAAAUGGUCGUUCAUGGCUAUUUUCGACAAAAAUUUGGGUUGUGUGGCCAUUGAUCAUCGACCAGAGGCUCAUACACCUCACCCCACAUAUGUUUCCUUGCCAUAGAUCACAUUCUUGGAUUUCUGGUGGAAACCAUUUCUUGGUCAAAAAUCCGUAGGUGUUAGCCUUCGGUAUUAUUGAAAAUGGUCGUUCAUGGCUAUUUUCGGCAAAAUGGGGGUUGUGUGGCCAUUGAUCAUCGACCAGAGGCUCGUACACCUCACCCCACAUAUGUUUCCUUGCCAUAGAUCACAUUCUUGGAUUUCUGGUGGAGACCAUUUCUUGGUCAAAAAUCCGUAGGUGUUAGCCUUCGGUAUUAUUGAAAAUGGUCAUUCAUGGCUAUUUUCGACAAAAAUGGGGGUUGUGUGGCCAUUGAUCAUCGACCAGAGGCUCAUACACCUCACCCACAUAUGUUUCCUUGCCAUAGAUCACAUUCUUGGAUUUCUGGUGGAGACCAUUUCUUGGUCAAAAAUCCGUAGGUGUUAGCCUUCGAUAUUAUUGAAAAUGGUCGUUCAUGGCUAUUUUCGACAAAAAUGGGGUUGUGUGGCCAUUGAUCAUCGACCAGAGGCUCAUACACCUCACCCCACAUAUGUUUCCUUGCCAUAGAUUACAUUCUUGGAUUUCUGGUGGAGACCAUUUCUUGGUCUAAAAUCCGUAGGUGUUAGCCUCUAGUAUUAUUGAAAAUGGUCGCUCAUGGCUAUUUUCAUAAAAAAUGGGGGUUGUGUGGCCAUUGAUCAUCGACCAGAGGCUCGUACACCUCACCCCACAUAUGUUUCCUUGCCAUAGAUUACAUUCUUGGAUUUCUGGUGGAAACCAUUUCUUGGUUAAAAACUCGUACGUGUUAGCCUUCGGUAUUAUUGAAAAUGGUCAUUCAUGGCUAUUUUCGGCAAAAUGGGGGUUGUGUGGCCAUUGAUCAUCGACCAGAGGCUCAUACACCUCACCCCACAUAUGUUUCCUUGCCAUAGAUCACAUUCUUGGAUUUCUGGUGGAGACCAUUUCUUGGUCAAAAAUCCGUAGGUGUUGGGGUCGUGCUUCGGUGCGCCGAAGGUCUCACACGAAGAAGCAGCUUCGGUUGAAGUCGUCUCCAAGAGAUGGCCGAAGGUCCCUUUUCAUGGAGCUUCGGCGUUUUAAACCGACAUAGAGAUAGAAUGACCUUUUUAUACAUAUAGGUCUGAGUCAAUGCUGUAAACUUUCGCAAGGGGCAUAAUUGUAAUUUGUCACAGGCUGCGACCUGUGCCUAUAAAUAGAUGAACAGUACCUCUGUACUGUUCACGUGAACCUGUCAUUUGCUUUCGCAUCACGCUUGUACUUUUGCCUUCCGCAGGACCGAAGGUACAUUUGUAAUUCAAAGUCAUUUAUAUUCACUAAUACAAAUAGAGACAAUUCUAUGACAAUAUUUAAAUGUUUAUUUCAUAUUCUAUGAUUUAUGUGAAUGCUUCAUUCUUCGUUCUUAUGUUUACGAAGGUAUGUCCUUCGUAACCUUCGUCCGAGAUGCUUUAUAUCCCGAAGGGAUAUAUCGUUAUGGAGGACGAAGGACCUUAACACUUAACGUUUUUUGUGUUGCCUUGUUCUUAAUUCUUAGCAUUUGAGAACAAGUUCCCAACAUUGGCGCCCACCUCCGGUCAACUCACUUCCACCUUUCUGAGCUGAUGGCUUCGUUCAACACUCAAGCUGGAGCUGCUUCGGCUUCGAAGCUGGUGCUCCCGAUAACAGGCGGUUCUUGCUCAGAGCCAGCUAACAAAAAGCAGAAGAAGGAGGCUCAGAGAAGGGUGCAGCAUGUUGGAGUGCAGGGACCCUUCAUUAAGUCAAAAUGGUCUCACAUUCCAAUUACCUUCUCUCAGGAAGAUCUUCAGCUCAAGGACUAUCCCACAAUGAUGCUAUGGUCAUUUCUUGUGUGAUCAAAGGGUUUCUGGUUCACAAUGUCCUAGUUGACACAGGCAGUGCAGCUGACAUUAUAUUUGCCAAAGCCUUCAGACAGAUGCAAGAGCCUGAAGACAAGAUUCAUGAUGCUACGCACCCUCUUUGUGGCUUCGGAGGGCGGCAGAUUGUGGCACUCGGGAAGAUUACCAUGCCGGUAACCUUCGGAUUUGUUAAUAACACAAGGACUGAGCAAAUUAUGUUUGAUAUUGUUGACAUGGAAUACCCCUACAACGCCAUCAUUGGUCGUGGUACCCUAAAUGCUUUUGAAGCAAUUCUUCACCCAGCUUAUCUCUGCAUGAAGAUACCUUCGGACCAAGGGCCUAUUGCUAUUCAUGGGAGUCAGGAAGCUGCCAGAAGGGCCGAAGGAAGCUGGACUGAUUCCAAGGCAAUCCAUAAUAUAGAUGGAGUUGAAGCUUGUGAACAGUACAAGUUCAGGAGGGAAAAAGCAGCUUCGGCUGAUCAGCCGAAGCCCAUGCUGCUGUGUGAGGAUAUAGCAGAGCAGAAGGUGCUAUUGGGCUCGCAAUUAUCUGAAGAUCAAGAGAAAACCUUGAUAAGGUUUUUAUUCAACAAUAAAGAUGUUUUUGCAUGGUCAGCCAAUGAUCUAUGUGGAGUGAAUCGGGAUGUUAUUGAACAUUCGCUCAAUAUUGACCCAUCCUUCAGACCCCGCAAGCAGAGGCUUCGGAAAAUGUCUGAUGACAAGGCCGAAGGGGCUCGCAACGAAGUAAAAAGACUCCUAAGUGCAGGAGUUAUCAGAGAAGUGAAGUAUCCAGAAUGGCUAGCUAACACUGUUAUGGUGAAGAAGGCCAAUGGAAAGUGGAGAAUGUGUAUUGAUUUCACAGAUCUCAACAAGGCUUGUCCGAAGGAUGAGUUCCCGCUGCCAAGGAUAGACUCUUUAGUUGAUGCAGCAGCUUCUUCGGAACUCAUGAGUCUCCUGGAUUGUUACUCAGGCUAUCAUCAAAUCUGGAUGAAAAAGGAGGAUGAGCCGAAGACUAGUUUCAUAACCCCAAGUGGUACAUAUUGCUAUCUUCGGAUGCCUGAGGGGCUUAAGAAUGCUGGAGGGAGUUUCAGCAGGAUGACUGCGAAGGUUCUCCAAUCUCAGAUAGGCAGAAAUGUGUUGACCUAUGUUGAUGACAUUAUUGUAAAAAGCACGAAGCAAGAAGACCAUAUUGCUGAUCUGCAGGAGACCUUCGCCAGCUUCAGACAAGCUGGUCUGAAGCUGAAUCCAGAAAAAUGUGUCUUCGGAGUAAAGAAGGGUAAGUUCCUUGGAUGCUUGGUUUCAACAAAGGGAAUUGAAGCUAACCCAAAUAAAAUCGAAGCUAUACUUCGAAUGGAGCCACCAACCACAAGAAAGGGGGCCCAAAGAUUGACAGGAAGACUGGCAUCUCUUAACAGAUUUAUAUCCAGAUCAGCGGAAAGAAAUCUACCCUUCUUCGAGGUGCUAAAAUCAGCUGAAGUCUUUCAAUGGGGCCCAGCUCAACAAAAAGCUUUCGAAGAACUCAAGCAAUACCUGAUAGAUCUAACAACAUUAACUCCACCAAUGCCAGGGGCUCCUCUGUUGUUGUAUGUGGCAGCUUCGCACUCAGCAGUAAGUGCGGCACUUGUGCAGGAGAAGUUUGAUGGACAAAUCAAGAAGCAGGUCCCAGUAUAUUUUGUAUCUGAGGUCCUUAGUGUCUCAAAGAAAAAUUAUACAGAGCUGGAGAAGGUGUUGUAUGCCGUUCUAAUGGCAUCCAGGAAGCUUCGGCAUUAUUUUCAGGCAUAUAAUAUUAUUGUUCCUUCUUCGCAGCCGUUGAAAGAUAUCAUGAGAAAUAAAGAAGCUACUGGCCGAAUUGGAAAAUGGGCUGCGGAGCUUAAUGAAUUUUACAUUGAUUAUGUGCACAGAUCCUCGAUCCAGUCUCAAGCAUUGGCAGAUUUUAUUGCCGACUGGACGCCAGGGGCUCAGGGCGAAGAAGCGAAUAAAGAUGCCGAAGCAUGGACAGUGUUUUGUGAUGGCUCCUGGGGAACCUUCGGAGCAGGAGCAGCUGCUGUUUUGGUUUCACCGUCCAAGGUUAAAACUUGCUAUGCAGCAAAACUGGACUUCAGCUGCACAAAUAAUAUUGCUGAGUACGAAGCCUUGCUCCUGGGUCUUCGGAAACUAAAGCGAUGGGGAUCAGGAGGGCGAUCCUUAAAACUGAUUCUCAGAUUGUUUCGGGUCAUAUUGACAAAAGUUGCAAGGCUAAAGACCCGAAGCUUGAAAAAUACUUAGACACAGUCCGAAGGAUCGAAGCUUCUUCGAAGGAUUUUCUGUUAAGAAUAUCCCUCGAGGGCAAAAUGAACAUGCUGAUUUGUUAGCCAGGUCUGCAGCACAGGGGCUGCCGCUACCUUCGGAUGUAUUCUUCGAAACAAUAAAGGCACCUUCAGUGGAGUUACUUGAAAGAGCAGUUCUUACUAUUUCUCCUGUGUACAGUGAAGAUUGGAGAACUGAAAUAAUUUCUUACCUUCAGGGCAACUUCCUAUCAGAUGACGAAGCUUAUAAUAAAAGAAUAGAGGCAAGAGCUCGUCCGUAUAUCAUUAUAGAAGGGGAGUUAUACAAGCAUGGAGUUUGUGCCCCGCUGCUCAAGUGCUUGUCUAGAGCCGAAGGUAUAGAGUUGAUGAAGGAGAUACAUGCAGGCCUUUGUGGAUCCCACAUCGGAUCCAGGCCGUUACUUGGAAAAGUGUUCCGUCAAGGGUUUUAUUGGCCGAAGGCAGCUUCGGAUGCAGCUGAGUUAGUUCAAAAGUGCGAAGGUUGUCAGAAAUGUGCAAGAGAUCAAAAACAACCUUCGUCUUUGACACAGCUAAUACAACCCAUCUGGCCAUUGCAAAGGUGGGGCCUCGAUUUGCUGGGCCCAUUACCAUCGGCUCAAGGCAAUCUGAAAUAUGUUGUAGUUGCUGUGGAAUAUUUUUCCAAGUGGAUUGAGGCGAAGCCAUUAGCUACAAUAACUUCGGCCACUGUCCAAAAAUUUUUCUGGCAGAAUAUUGUCUGUCGCUUCGGAGUGCCGAAGGCUAUAACUGUAGAUAAUGGAACACAAUUUGACUCCGAAGAAUUCAGAAAUUUUUGUGAUCAAAUUGGCACGAAGAUCCACUUUGCGUCAGUCAGGCACCCGGAGUCGAAUGGGCUUGUUGAAAGGGCCAACGGCAUCAUAAUGACAGGAAUAAUGAAGCUAAUCUUUAAUCAACCAAGGGGAAAGUGGCCAGAUCAGCUUACCAAAGUGGUAUGGAGCCAUAACACAACAACAUCAAGAUCUACAGGCUUUACCCCAUUUAAGUUGUUAUUUGGUGACGAAGCAAUAACCCCGGAAGAAGCCAAAGCUGGAUCAAUAAGAGUGGUAGCUUCGGCAGAAUCAGGUCCCGAAGAUACUUGUCUCGUGGAAAAAGAUGCCUUAGAAGGGAUCAGGCUUCAGGCCGUGGAGAAUAUCAAUAAGUACCAGGCUGAAACAGUUAAAUGGCGAGAUAGAAAGGUCCGGCUAAAAAAUAUUGAGCCAGGACACUUGGUGCUUCGGAGAGUGGCCAAUCCGGAUACAGUGGGCAAAUUGCAACUGAAAUGGGAAGGGCCUUUCUUAGUAGCAUCUUCGUCAAGGCCUGGUUCGUACAGACUGAAGGACAUGGAUGGCAAUGAAAUUCCAAGAUCUUGGAAUGCGGAUGAGCUUCGGCGGUUUUAUGUAUAACUCGAUGUAAUUUUGACUUUUCUUUUCUUUUUCAUGGCACCCUUUUCCUUUCUAAAGGGGGAGAAAGGUUUUUAAUGGGGCCAUCAUAUGUAAUUUCCUUUUUAGUUUUAUAAGAGCAAAAUCCCCCAAAGAAUGUAAAUGUAAAAGCUGAGAGCGCACCAUCGAGUGCCGAAACUAAAAAAGAGAAGAAGCUCCAAAGACGUCCCUAAGGGGAUGCAGAGCUUACAGCGAAAAGUCAACGCUGAUUCCGCCGAAAGUAAAAGGCGAAGAAGCUCCAAAGUCGUUCCUAAGGGAAUGCAGAGCUUAUACCGUCUAAGUAAAAGACGAAGAAGCUCCAAAGACGUCCCUAGGGGGAUGCAGAGCUUACAGCGAAAAGUCAACGCUGAUACUGCCUAAGUAAAAGGCAAAGAUGCUCCAAAGUCGUUCUUAAGGGAAUGCAGAGCUGACGUGUGUUUGCUCCUAAGAAAAUGAUGGAUGAGUGUGGCUUCGGACAUACGCUUCGGACAUUCAUUUGCACAUUACAUCAUGGCAUUUGCAUGCAUAAGCAUUCAUUCAUAGCAUUUGUGUUCCUAAAUGGUUGCUUCGGCACAGAGAAAAGUUUCGGAUAAAUGGUUUGUUAUGUAAAAGAAAGGUUUCGAAGAAGUAGUUUUUUAUGAAUCGUUGUGUAUAAGAGAAGUAGUCUUUUAUGUCUUGCUAUGUAAAAGCUUCGGCAGAAGGAAGAAGUAGCCUUUUAUGUUUUGCUAUGUAAAAGCUUCGGCAGAAAGAAGAAGUAGUUUUUUAUGUUUUGCUAUGUGAAGAAAAGCUUUGGCAAAAAAAGGAAGCGGCCGUUUAGGCUUCGUUGUGUACGAAAAGAAGGGAAGGUGUUUUUCGCCUUCGGCUCAAAAUACUGAUUUCGUCCACAUCAAAGCGACUCAAUCGAAGGGUAAGAAUAUAUUACAAGGUAUGUACAAAGUUCCUUGAGAACAGUUCAAUUGUAUUUACAAAACUUGUUACAAAAGUAUCCUGAGUUUUUUCCUAUAGUACAUUUCUACUGAUCUUCAUUAAGCUUCAGCUUCGACGACAGUUUCGGCGACAUAACUUAGGCAUCAUCUUCACCUUCGUCAUCCUACAUAAAUCAAGGAAUCGUGAGUAAAAAUCAAGUGCAAAGAAAAAGGUAAGUACGAAGUAUUAUCUCUUACUGGUUCAAGAUGACUUCGUGCUUCAUCUCCAGCCUUCUCCCGCCCGCCUUUUGUCCAUAUCAUUUUUAUAAAUCUAUUGGAGAUACUUCGGGCAAGGUCAGGCAUAUCAUCCAGGAUUGAUGGAGAUAAGGUGAAGUUGGGCCUGUUGACAACUUUUCCAUGUUCGCAGCCGGCCUUCAGAAAUGCAGCAGCUGUACCCCGAGAAGCUACCCAGGCACAGAAGUCGCCGUGCCCGGCUAUAACUUCGUCAAGCUCUUCGAUUUCAGCUUCAAUAUGAUCGAAGGCCUGGGGUAAAUUUUCCGCCGAAGGGUUAAAUUUCCCACUGCUGGCCCCAACAGAGUAAAAUAUCUUUUUUAAUCGUCCAAUACAAUUAUUGCCAAAGUUCAAGCAUUUGUCUUGAAGGCUUGUUAAUGCUUUCUUCAAUUCUGAGCUGGUCUGGACUUCGGCUUUAAGCUUCGAAUUCAGUUCUAGCUUCUCCUGAUCAAAUUGUUUUGAUUGAUUGAUAAGCUUCGAAUUUAACUCUAAUAUUUUAGCCUCAGUUUCAGCCAGCAAGCCUUCGGUCGAUUGGAGCUCGAAGUCUUUCUUUUCAAUGAUGGCAGUUUGCUCUUUUAUUUUGCUUUCCAAGUUUUCAAUUAUAGCUUCGUGCUUCUUGUCCUCCAAGUCUUGUUGCAUCUUCAGAGCUUUGCUCAGUAGCAUGCUGUGAACAGAAACAACUUAUGUCAAGUAAUAUUUUCAUUGUUAGCGGCAAUAAAAACCAGAGAAAAAGGUUGUUUACCUUGAAGUUAGAAUAAAACAAGCUGCCGACGAUAUGUUGUCGUCGGUAGCGGCUGAUGUCUGUCUCUAGCUUCGGAAAACCGAUACUCUUCGAUAGAGUACCGAUUACCUUAGCUCCAGUCUGGUCUCGAAUACAGCCUAGUUUUUCAUCAUCUACACCCCCAAAUAGGAGGGCACCUGACUUGUAGCCGCAAGACUUGGCGUAGUCUUUAAGUUCUUCUAUUUCGUCCUUCGUCAGUUUUUGCCCAACUAAGUUCUGGAAAGAGUAGGCUUCGUCGUCCGAAGGGUCUUCGGCUAUUUCUUUUCCUUUCUCAGGCACUGUGGCCAUGGUUUUUUCAGUAGUAGCACCAGCUUCUUCCGCAGCCAUGUCUUCCAAAAUCUUGUUGAUAUUCUUAAUCGUGGUUUCUAAGUUUGUAUCUUCGGCUGUAGCGGCUUCGGUAGCCGCGACCUCCGAAGCUACGCCUUCGACGAUUGCUGUACCUUCGGCAGCUGCCGUUUUUUGGAUUGAUGCCCUUGGUGGCGUCUUGUCGAUAACCUCAGUUACCGCAAUGAUUCUUUGCCGUUUGGGUUUGUUUAUCUUCGAUUGAUCCGGCUCGUCCACCUUUUCAAAAAGCUUCGUCAGUUGGAGCCCUAAUGGACUUAGCUUCGUAGGCAUGGGUUCAGUCAUUACCUUUAAAAUUUCCUCCACGUCGCUGGCAGAAGGCAGUGUGGGGGUCCCCUCUUCUUCGGGUGAUUUGCGCUUCGGAGCAGAUAUUUUUCCUUUUUUGAGAAUUUUCUUCUCCUUUGCUGGUCUUUCUUCAUCCGUGAUUGAAGUUUCGGCUAUUCUUUUUCUUUUAAGGCCCUCGGCACCCUUGUUCAAUUGUUCAUAGUCUGGGUAUUCGAAGCCUAAGGCGUCAAGCACUCGGUUCAACCUUCGUUUCGGUCGGGCACCGAAGGCUGCUGUCAUUAGUUGAUCCUCUUUUUUGGAGUAGUUCCCCAGGAUUUCGUUGCACAUCACUUCAACAGUCUCUAACCAUUCUUUGCAGGGUUUUUUGAAGAACUUCUUGAACUUGAAGUAAUAGGGAAGCCGGACAAGCUCCCCCUCCUUCUUCUCUCCCUCCAGCUUCGGCAUCUCCCACUCUUUUAGAGUAGGGAAAACUCUGAAUGCCAAGAAUUCCUGAACUAGAUCCCUGGUGCCAAUAUGUUCUGAGAUAAUUUCAAAUUCACCCAGAGCAGCCCAGGUGGGACCUUUUAGGUCGCCAAUGUGGCAUUGUGGCCUUGUCUCUCCGAAGAUUAACUCCAGAGGGCUUUGUACCAAUUUUUCUUUGUCUUCAUCAACUUUUACAUAAAACCACUCAGAUUUCCAACCUGCUGGCCAUUUGCUUCGGUAGCUGAUGACAGGACACUUUGUUGUCUUCCGGUAGGCAAAAUUAUAGCAACCGAAAUUAUCAUGUAGCCCAUCUUUUCUGGCUUUUGUUUGGUAAUGUAAUUCGUGAGCUCGGCAGAAGCUGUCAGCAAAUGGUUCCACAGCUUGGCUUCGGAGGGCCCAGAUAUAAACAUUGAGCCUAACGAUGGCGUUAGGAGUCAAUUGAUGAAAGUAGAUACCAAACCUCCUUAGUAUCUCCGCAACAAUACCGUGGAGAGGGAAUCUAAGCCCGGCUUUUAAAAAACUCUUGAAAAUAACAAUCUCAUCCUUCCUUGGCUUCGGGGUGGUUUCUUCUUCCCCGAAGCGGAGUAGCUUCUUCUGGUCCUCAUUGAAAUAACCUGCUUUCACCAUCUUCGAAAGGUCAGCUUUUGAAACAGUUGAUUUCCCAAAAUCCAGGUGACUGGGCUUGCUGGGCGUAGCAAGGUGAUAGUCAUCUUCGGAGUCAGUCCCUUCAAUGUUUUCUUCUCCUUCGGCAGUUGUUGGGCCUGCUUCAGCAGCAGGCAUUUCUUCUGUAAGUAGACCGGAACGCUGCAUUGCUUCGGAGAUGGGCAUAGUGUCUGAACCUUCGGCUUCGUCUCCCUCACGUACAACUUUGGCAGUAGAUCGUAUUCUCGCCAUUUGAUUCUAAGUUUGGGAAGUCAAAAACUUUUUCCUUUUUUCUCUCUUCGAAGCUCUUCUUUCUGACGAAGCGGACGUUGAGAAGCACCUUCGUUCGAUUCUGAGACUUAAGCUUCGGCUAUGGUGAAAAAUUUUGGCAGCGAAACAGUGCAAAUAGCAAUGAAUGCUGUGGUAACUUCACACCCACCUGUUUGUUUAUAUAGUGCUGCAGGUAGGAAGGCGAAGCCGUGGAACUGUUACACCAGGUGCGCAGUAACUCAUACCCGCUGCGCAGUGGACCGCAAGGAUCAAACAGUAACUCUGCAAGGUGGGACCGACACGCGCUCGGAAGUCGGAUCAUUUCUCCGCAACGAGCUCAGGGAAGGUGUUUUUUGGACCUUCGGCUUCCCGAAGCUGAAGAGGCUUUUUUCACGGGUCAAGCUCGUUACGAAGAACGAUCUAGCACCGCGAAAGGGGCUACUGUUGGGGUCGUGCUUCGGUGCGCCGAAGGUCUCACACGAAGAAGCAGCUUCGGCUGAAGUCGUCUCCAAGAGAUGGCCGAAGGUCCCUUUUCAUGGAGCUUCGGCGUUUUAAACCGACAUAGAGAUAGAAUGACCUUUUUAUACAUAUAGGUCUGAGUCAAUGCUGUAAACUUUCGCAAGGGGCAUAAUUGUAAUUUGUCACAGGCUGCGACCUGUGCCUAUAAAUAGAUGAACAGUACCUCUGUACUGUUCACGUGAACCUGUCAUUUGCUUUCGCAUCACGCUUGUACUUUUGCCUUCCGCAGGACCGAAGGUACAUUUGUAAUUCAAAGUCAUUUAUAUUCACUAAUACAAAUAGAGACAAUUCUAUGACAAUAUUUAAAUGUUUAUUUCAUAUUCUAUGAUUUAUGUGAAUGCUUCAUUCUUCGUUCUUAUGUUUACGAAGGUAUGUCCUUCGUAACCUUCAUCCGAGAUGCUUUAUAUCCCGAAGGGAUAUAUCGUUAUGGAGGACGAAGGACCUUAACACUUAACGUUUUUUGUGUUGCCUUGUUCUUAAUUCUUAGCAUUUGAGAACAAGUUCCCAACAGUAGGUCUUAGCCUCUAGUAUUAUUGAAAAUGGUCGCUCAUGGCUAUUUUCAUAAACAAUGGGGGUUGUGUGGCCAUUUAUCAUCGACUAGAGGCUCAUAAACCUCACCCCACAUAUGUUUCCUUGCCAUAGAUCACAUUCUUGGAUUUCUGGUGGAGACCAUUUCUUGGUUAAAAACUCGUACGUGUUAGCCUUCGGUAUUAUUGAAAAUGGUCGUUCAUUGCUAUUUUCGACAAAAAUUAGGGUUCUGUGGCCAUUGAUCGUCGACCAGAGGCUCAUACACCUCACCCCACAUAUGUUUCCUUGCCAUAGAUCACAUUCUUGGAUUUCUGGUGGAGACCAUUUCUUGGUCAAAAAUCCGUAGGUGUUAGCCUUCGAUAUUAUUGAAAAUGGUCGUUCAUGGCUAUUUUCGACAAAAAUGGGGGUUGUGUGGCCAUUGAUCAUCGACCAGAGGCUCAUACACCUCACCCCACAUAUGUUUCCUUGCCAUAGAUCACAUUCUUGGAUUUCUGGUGGAGACCAUUUCUUGGUCAAAAAUCCGUAGGUGUUAGCCUUCGGUAUUAUUGAAAAUGGUCGUUCAUGGCUAUUUUCGACAAAAAUGGGGGUUGUGUGGCCAUUGAUCAUCGACCAGACGCUCAUACACCUCACCCCACAUAUGUUUCCUUGCCAUAGAUCACAUUCUUGGAUUUCUGGUGGAGACCAUUUCUUGGUCUAAAAUCCGUAGGUGUUAGCCUCUAGUAUUAUUGAAAAUGGUCGCUCAUGGCUAUUUUCAAGGUCGCUCAUGGCUAUUUUCAUAAAAAAUGGGGGUUGUGUGGCCAUUUAUCAUCGACUAGAGGCUCAUAAACCUCACCCCACAUAUGUUUCCUUGCCAUAGAUUACAUUCUUGGAUUUCUGGUGGAAACCAUUUCUUGGUUAAAAACUCGUACGUGUUAGCCUUCGGUAUUAUUGAAAAUGGUCAUUCAUGGCUAUUUUCAGCAAAAUGGGGGUUGUGUGGCCAUUGAUCGUCGACCAGAGGCUCAUACACCUCACCCCACAUAUGUUUCCUUGUCGUAGAUCACAUUCUUGGAUUUCUGAUGGAGACCAUUUCUUGGUCAAAAAUCCGUAGGUGUUAGCCUUCGAUAUUAUUGAAAAUGGUCGUUCAUGGCUAUUUUCGACAAAAAUUUGGGUUGUGUGGCCAUUGAUCAUCGACCAGAGGCUCAUACACCUCACCCCACAUAUGUUUCCUUGCCACAGAUCACAUUCUUGGAUUUAUGGUGGAAACCAUUUCUUGGUCAAAAAUCCGUAGGUGUUAGCCUUCGGUAUUAUUGAAAAUGGUCGUUCAUGGCUAUUUUCGGCAAAAUGGGGGUUGUGUGGCCAUUGAUCAUCGACCAGAGGCUCGUACACCUCACCCCACAUAUGUUUCCUUGCCAUAGAUCACAUUCUUGGAUUUCUGGUGGAGACCAUUUCUUGGUCAAAAAUCCGUAGGUGUUAGCCUUCGGUAUUAUUGAAAAUGGUCAUUCAUGGCUAUUUUCGACAAAAAUGGGGGUUGUGUGGCCAUUGAUCAUCGACCAGAGGCUCAUACACCUCACCCCACAUAUGUUUCCUUGCCAUAGAUCACAUUCUUGGAUUUCUGGUGGAGACCAUUUCUUGGUCAAAAAUCCGUAGGUGUUAGCCUUCGAUAUUAUUGAAAAUGGUCGUUCAUGGCUAUUUUCGACAAAAAUGGGGGUUGUGUGGCCAUUGAUCAUCGACCAGAGGCUCAUACACCUCACCCCACAUAUGUUUCCUUGCAUAGAUACAUUCUUGGAUUUCUGGUGGAGACCAUUUCUUGGUCUAAAAUCCGUAGGUGUUAGCCUCUAGUAUUAUUGAAAAUGGUCGCUCAUGGCUAUUUUCAUAAAAAAUGGGGGUUGUGUGGCCAUUGAUCAUCGACCAGAGGCUCGUACACCUCACCCCACAUAUGUUUCCUUGCCAUAGAUUACAUUCUUGGAUUUCUGGUGGAAACCAUUUCUUGGUUAAAAACUCGUACGUGUUAGCCUUCGGUAUUAUUGAAAAUGGUCAUUCAUGGCUAUUUUCGGCAAAAUGGGGGUUGUGUGGCCAUUGAUCAUCGACCAGAGGCUCAUACACCUCACCCCACAUAUGUUUCCUUGCCAUAGAUCACAUUCUUGGAUUUCUGGUGGAGACCAUUUCUUGGUCAAAAAUCCGUAGGUCUUAGCCUCUAGUAUUAUUGAAAAUGGUCGCUCAUGGCUAUUUUCAUAAAAAAUGGGGGUUGUGUGGCCAUUUAUCAUCGACUAGAGGCUCAUAAACCUCACCCCACAUAUGUUUCCUUGCCAUAGAUCACAUUCUUGGAUUUCUGGUGGAGACCAUUUCUUGGUUAAAAACUCGUACGUGUUAGCCUUCGGUAUUAUUGAAAAUGGUCGUUCAUGGCUAUUUUCGACAAAAAUGGGGUUUGUGGCCAUUGAUCAUCGACCAGAGGCUCAUACACCUCACCCCACAUAUGUUUCCUUGCAUAGAUCACAUUCUUGGAUUUCUGGUGGAGACCAUUUCUUGGUCAAAAAUCCGUAGGUGUUAGCCUUCGUAUUAUUGAAAAUGGUCGUUCAUGGCUAUUUUCGACAAAAAUGGGGGUUGUGUGGCCAUUGAUCAUCGACCAGAGGCUCAUACACCUCACCCCACAUAUGUUUCCUUGCCAUAGAUCACAUUCUUGGAUUUCUGGUGGAGACCAUUUCUUGGUCAAAAAUCCGUAGGUGUUAGCCUUCGGUAUUAUUGAAAAUGGUCGUUCAUGGCUAUUUUCGACAAAAAUGGGGGUUGUGUGGCCAUUGAUCAUCGACCAGAGGCUCAUACACCUCACCCCACAUAUGUUUCCUUGCCAUAGAUCACAUUCUUGGAUUUCUGGUGGAGACCAUUUCUUGGUCAAAAAUCCGUAGGUGUUAGCCUCUAGUAUUAUUGAAAAUGGUCGCUCAUGGCUAUUUUCCAGGUCGCUCAUGGCUAUUUUCAUAAAAAUGGGGGUUGUGUGGCCAUUUAUCAUCGACUAGAGGCUCAUAAACCUCACCCCACAUAUGUUUCCUUGCCAUAGAUCACAUUCUUGGAUUUCUGGUGGAGACCAUUUCUUGGUAAAAAUCCGUAGUGUUAGCCUUCGGUAUUAUUGAAAAUGGUCAUUCAUGGCUAUUUUCAGCAAAAUGGGGGUUGUGUGGCCAUUGAUCGUCGACCAGAGGCUCAUACACCUCACCCCACAUAUGUUUCCUUGCCAUAGAUCACAUUCUUGGAUUUCUGGUGGAGACCAUUUCUUGGUCAAAAAUCCGUAGGUGUUAGCCUUCGUAUUAUUGAAAAUGGUCGUUCAUGGCUAUUUUCGACAAAAAUGGGGUUGUGUGGCCAUUGAUCAUCGACCAGAGGCUCAUACACCUCACCCCACAUAUGUUUCCUUGCCAUAGAUCACAUUCUUGGAUUUCUGGUGGAGACCAUUUCUUGGUCAAAAAUCCGUAGGUGUUAGCCUUCGUAUUAUUGAAAAUGGUCGUUCAUGGCUAUUUUCGCAAAAUGGGGGUUGUGUGGCCAUUGAUCAUCGACCAGAGGCUCAUACACCUCACCCCACAUAUGUUUCCUUGCCAUAGAUCACAUUCUUGGAUUUCUGGUGGAGACCAUUUCUUGGUCAAAAAUCCGUAGGUGUUAGCCUUCGGUAUUAUUGAAAAUGGUCAUUCAUGGCUAUUUUCGACAAAAAUGGGGGUUGUGUGGCCAUUGAUCAUCGACCAGAGGCUCAUACACCUCACCCCACAUAUGUUUCCUUGCCAUAGAUCACAUUCUUGGAUUUCUGGUGGAGACCAUUUCUUGGUCAAAAAUCCGUAGGUGUUAGCCUUCGUAUUAUUGAAAAUGGUCGUUCAUGGCUAUUUUCGACAAAAAUGGGGGUUGUGUGGCCAUUGAUCAUCGACCAGAGGCUCAUACACCUCACCCCACAUAUGUUUCCUUGCCAUAGAUCACAUUCUUGGAUUUCUGGUGGAGACCAUUUCUUGGUCAAAAAUCCGUAGGUGUUAGCCUUCGGUAUUAUUGAAAAUGGUCGCUCAUGGCUAUUUUCGACAAAAAUGGGGGUUGUGUGGCCAUUGAUCAUCGACCAGAGGCUCAUACACCUCACCCCACAUAUGUUUCCUUGCCAUAGAUCACAUUCUUGGAUUUCUGGUGGAAACCAUUUCUUGGUUAAAAAUCCGUACGUGUUAGCCUUCGGUAUUAUUGAAAAUGGUCAUUCAUGGCUAUUUUCGCAAAAUGGGGGUUGUGUGGCCAUUGAUCAUCGACCAGAGGCUCAUACACCUCACCCCACAUAUGUUUCCUUGCCAUAGAUCACAUUCUUGGAUUUCUGGUGGAGACCAUUUCUUGGUCAAAAAUCCGUAGGUGUUAGCCUCUAGUAUUAUUGAAAAUGGUCGCUCAUGGCUAUUUUCAUAAAAAUGGGGGUUGUGUGGCCAUUUAUCAUCGACUAGAGGCUCAUAAACCUCACCCCACAUAUGUUUCCUUGCCAUAGAUCACAUUCUUGGAUUUCUGGUGGAGACCAUUUCUUGGUCAAAAAUCCGUACGUGUUAGCCUUCGGUAUUAUUGAAAAUGGUCGUUCAUGGCUAUUUUCGGCAAAAUGGGGGUUGUGUGGCCAUUGAUCAUCGACCAGAGGCUCAUACACCUCACCCCACAUAUGUUUCCUUGCCAUAGAUCACAUUCUUGGAUUUCUGGUGGAGACCAUUUCUUGGUCAAAAAUCCGUACGUGUUAGCCUUUGGUAUUUUUGAAAAUGGUCAUUCAUGGCUAUUUUCGACAAAAAUGGGGGUUGUGUGGCCAUUGAUCAUCGACUAGAGGCUCAUACACCUCACCCCACAUAUGUUUCCUUGCCAUAGAUCACAUUCUUGGAUUUCUGGUGGAGACCAUUUCUUGGUCAAAAAUCUGUAGGUGUUAGCCUUCGUAUUAUUGAAAAUGGUCGUUCAUGGCUAUUUUCGACAAAAAUGGGGGUUGUGUGGCCAUUGAUCAUCGACCAGAGGCUCAUACACCUCACCCCACAUAUGUUUCCUUGCGUAGAUCACAUUCUUGGAUUUCUGGUGGAGACCAUUUCUUGGUCAAAAAUCCGUAGGUGUUAGCCUCUAGUAUUAUUGAAAAUGGUCGCAUUCAUGGCUAUUUUCAUAAAAAAUGGGGUUGUGUGGCCAUUUAUCAUCGACUAGAGGCUCAUAACCUCACCCCACAUAUGUUUCCUUGCAUAGAUCACAUUCUUGGAUUUCUGGUGGAGACCAUUUCUUGGUCAAAAAUCCGUAGGUGUUAGCCUUCGUAUUAUUGAAAAUGGUCGUUCAUGGCUAUUUUCGACAAAAAAUGGGGGUUGUGUGGCCAUUGAUCGUCGACCAGAGGCUCAUACACCUCACCCCACAUAUGUUUCCUUGCCAUAGAUCACAUUCUUGGAUUUCUGGUGGAGACCAUUUUUGGUUAAAAAUCCGUACGUGUUAGCCUUUGGUAUUUUUGAAAAUGGUCAUUCAUGGCUAUUUUCAUAAAAAUGGGGGUUGUGUGGCCAUUGAUCAUCGACCAGAGGCUCAUACACCUCACCCCACAUAUGUUUCCUUGUCAUAGAUCACAUUCUUGGAUUUCUGGUGGAGACCAUUUCUUGGUCAAAAAUCCGUAGGUGUUAGCCUUCGGUAUUAUUGAAAAUGGUCGUUCAUGGCUAUUUUCGACAAAAAUGGGGGUUGUGUGGCCAUUGAUCAUCGACCAGAGGCUCAUACACCUCACCCCACAUAUGUUUCCUUGCCAU